AUGUUAUUUCUGGCUUAAAUAUGUGUUAGGUUAAGUAAUUUUGAGCUCUGAGGUGUGUUGGGGAGGUCCCAAGUUCAAGCUAUAAUUUGGGCUAAAUUUGGAUUUUAUUGGAAUAAAGUCUAACUUGAGAUCAGUGGGCUUUUAAGGAGUUGUUGGUAAAGACUUAACACAAUGGGCCUGCUGGUCUAGUGGUUAAGUGGCAAGGGAUUAUGCCUAGGGUCAGGGGUUCGAUUCCCUGUGGUAGCGAUGGGAUUAUUUUUGCUACAAGUUCCAGUAAGAAAUGGGCUUUAGUAAAUUCUGAGUUGUGGGCUUAAGGGAAAACCUAGGAUUUUCUUUUUUUCCUAUUUUCUGUCAACAGUUGUUUCUCUUCCGUUUUUCUUUUUUCUCAAUUUCCCUUGUGCCGAAAAUUCUCCGCUUCCUUUCCUUUCUCCUUUGUUUUUCUUUUCUUUUUCGAUAAGCUUAGGCGUGUUCAAACGGUUCUAUCGAUUCGGUAAGUAGCGUUUAAAUUAAGUUAAAUGUUUUCUAUUGGAGAUUGUUAAUAGUGACUUUGGUUGCUGUUUAGGGAUUAAUCAAGGCUCGGUAGAUCAGUAAUUGAGUUCUUAGCAAACGAAGAAAUACCAUUCUUUAUCAAAGGUAAGUAGAUCUCUCAAUUUAGGAUUUGUUCAUUCUAAGGUAAAAUGAUUUAAGUGAUUGAUUUGGGCUCGGUUUUGUCAAUCUUAGGCUUUGGAGUGCUCGUGGUUUGAUUAGUUGCUAAAACAAACCAGGUGUAUACUCCGAUUGUAUAGAAAACGAGUUUUGGUGAAAGCCAAAAAACCAGUCUGUCGACUCCACAUGGGCGUGUGAGACACGGACGUGUGACAGACGAGCCAGGCUGUGCGUGCGCCACACGGGCGCGACAGACAUAGGCGUGUGAGGUUGGCGAGGCCGUGUGCAAGGCACGGGCUGGACCAUUUGGGCUUUGUAAGUCGCACGGGCGUGUGGGUCACACGGGUGAACCACACGGGCAUGUGGGUCUUGGGAUAGGCUAUGUGAUCCACAUGAAUAAUGCUAAUUUGGGCCGUUUGGGCCUCACGGGCGUGUGGGUCACACGGGUGAACCACAUGGGCGUAUGGGUCUUGGGCUAGGCUGUGUGAUCUAUACGGGCGUGUAGGCCCAAACGGGCAGGGCACACAGGCGUGUGAGCCCAAUUUUCCUAAAAUGUUCUGUAAGGUUGUGCGGGUCGCUUUAGUCGAUUAGGAUCAGUAAGCAUUUUUUUUAUCCCAUACUGUGAAUUAUUACUAUGUUGUAUGUAAAACAUGUUACGACAAGCAUGUAUAUCUGCCUGAUUUCGUAUAUCUGUUCUGCUAUGAUAUAAUCUGAUUUCUGUAAGAAAGUAUGCCACGAUAUUCAUGAUGCAUUACAUUAGGUUGGGUUGUUAUGAAGAGAAGGAAGCCUGGAGGCGAUUAGCCUAUUAUCAGGCAGUUACGCUGCAUAUAUCUGUUAUGUACUAUUUUACAGUACCACUUGGUGUAUAGGGCUGGAUCAGUCAAUUUUAUCCCAAUACUUGGUGUGUAGGGCUGGGUAGGUCGAUUUUAUCCCCACAUGGUGUGUUGGGUUGGACGGAGAUGGUGUGCAAGGUUGGUGGGCAUGAUUUCUAUUCUCUGAUAUCUGAUCUCGUCUGCAUGCAACAUCAAUAUGGCUAAGGCUGAAUAUCUGUAUCCUGUUAUCUGUUUGUAUGCAUACUGUUUGUGGGGAUGUACACACUGAGUUUGUGAAAACUCACCCCUUUAUUUAUUUUAUGUCAGGUAAUCCUCAGCAGUAGACGGAUCGGUGUGGCAGAGGGCUCGAUGGUAACCACUGUUGGACUCAUGGAUUUUUGAGUAACGUUUAUUUCAUCUGUUCAAUUUUUUUCCUAUAUUUGUUUUGGGAUUUAAUUUUUAGACAUGAGCUAUUUAUUUCGAGUUUAUUUUGGGGUUGUUAAAUUGUCAAAUUUUUGAUUUAUGAAUUAUUGAUAUUUUAGCUUCCGCGUAAAAGAAUUGUUUUCAAAAAAUUAAUGGAAUAAGGAUUUCCCGAUUUAAGUAAAGUUAAUAAUCUGAAUGAUUUUAACUUCCUAAGCUUUUAUAAAAGCACUAUCAUGUAACGCCGCGUGAUUCGGCCAUAACGUCUGGACCGAGUUUGGGGUGUUACAUUUAGUAGUAUCAGAGUCAGGUUUGCAAAAAAUCUGUUGUGGUUUUGGGCGGUAAAAAGGAAUGGUUUUGAAAAUCAGUGAUAAAAUAAUUGGAAAUUUUUUUUGAAAAAGAAAUGGUUCACCGAGUCUCCAUUGCCGAUCUUGUAAGUUCUCUGAAACUCUGAUGUAUUUUGUUUGAAAGCGUACCUAAAUUGAGUUUUAUCUAUAUCUGUCUGAGAUGCUAUGCCUGUAUAUUGAGACUACUAUAGGUUGUGUUUUGCUGAGACACCUUAGGUAGUGUAAACUGAAACCAUAGUGAGACUUGCUAUUCGCGAUAACAAUUUCCAAUUAUCGAAACUGUAAACUGAUGUGCAUAAAACUUCUUAAUACAGAUUAAUUCAAUAGUUACAAUGAGCGCACGCGGUACUCGUGGACGGGGUACUAGAGACUGAGGUAGAGGCUAUAGAGGGAUUCGAGCUGAGUCCUUCGAAUCUGAUACGAUCCCUAAUCUGGACACUAGCGAGACGCCAGUGUCACCUGUUACUAAGAUUAGUGCUGAGUCUCAGGACCGUGUAGCUGGGGAUGACGCACUGUCCCAGGCCAUGCUGCGAAUUUUAGAGAGGGUCGCUGGGGCUAAUGUUGGAUCUGGAGGCCGUGGAUCAGUUACGGAACGACUCCAGUCGAAUGGGGCUAAGAUAUUUAGAGGCAUCACUGGAGUUGCUCCGAGUGUGGCCAAGUAUUGGAUAAAGGCCAUAGAGCGCAUAAUGGAUGACUUGGAUUUUACUAAUGAGCAGAAGCUCAAGGGGGCUGUGUCUCUGCUUCGCGAUGAGGCAUACCAGUGGUGGUUGACCAUUAAGGAGGGUACUCAGCCUGAUAGGUUGACUUGGGAUUUGUUUAAGACCACCUAUCUGAGUAAGUAUGUGGGAGCUAGCUACACUGACGCUAGGCAACGUGAGCUUCUGAAUCUUACUAAGGGAGACCGUUUAGUGGCCGAGUAUUGGAUGAAGGCCAUAGAGUGCAUAAUGGAUGACUUGGAUUUUACUGAUGAAUAGAAGCUCAAAGGGGCUGUGUCUCUGCUUCGCAAUGAGGCAUACCAGUGGUGGUUGACCAUUAAGGAGGAUACUCAGCCUGAUAGGUUGACUUGGGAUUUGUUUAAGACCACCUAUCUGAGUAAGUAUAUGGGAGCUAACUACACUGACACCAGGCAACGUGAGCUUUUGAAUCUUACUAAGGGAGACCGUUAAGUGGCUGAGUAUGAGGCCGAAUUUCUGAGGUUGUGUCGCUAUGUGAGGGGCAUGGUGACGAAUGAUUAUGAGCGCUGUGUUUGAUUUGAGGAUGGUCUUCGAGAUAGUCUGUGAGUUCUGAUAGCUCCUCAAAGGGAGCAGGAUUUCUCAGUCUUGGUCGAGAAGGCCAAGAUAACUAAGGAGGUGAAGCGCUCUGAGCUCCAAAAUGUGAGAAAGGGAAAAUAGAGAGGGAUUUUGAGUCUACCGGUUCUGGGAUGAGGCCUAAAAAAAAGGCCAGAACUGAUAGGCCCGUUAGAGUUGGGCCUACUAUUGCACCUGCUGGGGUGGCGAGCUACCAGCUAUGUAAUAGACGCCAUCCAGGCGAGUGUUGGAAAUCUACUGGCGCUUGUUUGAGGUGUGGAUCGACUGAGCAUUGAGAUAAAGAUUGUCCACUGAGGGGUAAUCAGAUACAAGCUUCGGUUGUUGGGACUGCGCAGCUACAGAGAAGAGUAUAGCAGCCACCUAAGGGUCGAGGACAGGCUAGGGGUGGUAACGGUAUGGGUCGAGGUCAGAGAACAGCUGGUAGAGGUGCUAGGCCGACCGAGGUGAGGCAGCUUGUACUUGUCUAUGUUGCAUGUUGUCGUGAUGAUGGAGAUGCUCCAGACGUCAUCAUAGAUACAUUUUUUAUUCUUAAUGUACUUUAUGUUGCACUAAUAGACAUAGGUUCUACGUACUCUUAUGUUGCAUGUUCUAUGUUUGAGACUUUGGGGAUUUCGUAUGAGAGCACUUCUAGGGAAAUUUCUGUGGUAAGUCCGUUGGGGCAAUCCAUUAGGGUUAGUAAGUUGUUCAGGGACGUUCCUUUGGAAGUCUAUGGUUUGAUAUUUUUGGUUGAUCUGAUGAUCUUCUAUUUGGGGAGUUCGACCUAAUUCUUGGUAUAGACUGAUUGGUGAAGCAUCAUAUAAGUCUGGAUUGUGCUGAAAAGAAGGUGGUUCUGAGGACUGAAAAGGAUAAAGAGGCAGUCGUGAUUGGAGAACGACGAAAUUAUCUGAGUAAUGUGAUAUCUGCGUUGGUAGUAGAGAAGCUGGUUGGGAUAGAAUGUGAGGCAUACUUAGCCUACAUCAGUGUUUCUGAUUCAGUGGACUCUUCGGUGAAGGACAUCCGUACUGUGAGGGACUUUCCAGAUGUUUUUCCAGAGGAAUUACUAGGAUUACCUCCAAACUGUGAGGUAGAAUUUAAGAUUGAGUUGAUUCCUGGCACACUCCGGUGUCUAUCGCCCCUUAUCGAAUGGCAUCGAAGAAGCUGGCAGAACUGAAGGCUCAAGUUCAGGAGCUGUUAGAUAGUGAGUUUAUUCAUCCUAGUGUGUCUUCAUGGGGAGCGCUGGCUUUUUUUGUAAAGAAGAAAAAUGGUACAAUGAGGAUAUGUAUUGACUACCGUCAAUUGAACAAGUUGACAAUUAAGAAUAAAUACCCACUUUCGAGGAUAGACGAUUUAUUUAAUUAGUUCAGAGGGGCUUUUGUAUUCUCUAAAAUUGAUUUAUGAUUAGGAUAUCAUCAGUUGAGAGUAAAGGAGGCCGAUGUGCAUAAGACGGCAUUUAGGACUCGGUAUGGAUAUUAUGAGUUCCUAGUUAUGCCCUUUGGGUUAACUAAUGCACCAGCGACAUUUAUAGACUUAAAGAAUCGAGUAGUCUAGCCCUACUUAGAUCAGUUUGUGGUAGUGUUCAUCGACGGCAUCUUGGUAUACUCUAGAACGGAGGAUGAGCACGAUAAGCAUCUAUGAGUGGUCUUGUAGAUUCCCCAGAAGGAACAACUAUAUUCGAAGUUUAGUAAGUGUGAGUUCUGGCUUGAGAAGUCACAUUUCUGGGACAUGUAAUUUCUGCAGAGGGGAUUAGAGUGGAUCCUCGUAAGGUUGAGACGAUGUUGGAUAGGAAACAGCCGAAGAGUGUGUCGGAGGUUUGUAGUUUUUUAGGUCUGGCAGGUUAUUAUCGACGCUUCGUAAAAGGGUUCUCAUUGAUCGCUAAGCCGUUAACUAAGUUGUUGCGCAAAUGAGUUCCCUUUGUUUGGACUGCCAUACAGCAGAAGAGCUUCGAGAAGCUCAAAACAGUUUUGACUCAGCUCCAGUUCUGAUUCAGCCUGAACCCGAUAAGGACUUUGUGGUUUAUAGUGAUGCGUCACAUGUGGGUUUGGGCUGCAUUUUGAUGCAAGACGGUAAAGUAGUUACCUAUGAGUCUCGACAGCUGAAGACUCACGAGGCUAAUUAUCUGACACAUGAUUUGGAGUUGGCUGCAGUUGUCUUUGCAUUAAAGAUUUGGAAGCACUACAUGUCCGAUAAUAAGUGUACUAUCUACACUGAUCACAAGAGCCUCAAGUAUCUCCUCACUCAGAAAGAGUUAAAUCUUAGGCAGCGACAAUGGGUUGAGUUGCUUAAGGACUACGACUGCAGUAUUGAGUAUCACCUUGGAAAGACCUAUAUGGUGGCUGAUGCAUUAAGCCGUAGGGCUGUGGCUGAUUUGAGAGCGUUGUUCGCCCAACUGCGUCUUUAUGACGAUGGGAGUCUCUUAGCUGAGUUACAGGUUAGACCAACAUGGCUGGUUCAGAUUAAAGAUAAGCAGUUAGGAUAUGAGUCUCUUCAGUUGCGAUUUUGUCACGUUGAGACUAGGACAACCACUGAUUUUAGGAUUGACAGUGAUAGGGUGUUGUGUUUUCGAGAUAAGAUCUGUGUACCUAAUGAUGAGAAUUUGAGGAUAUCGAUUGUAAGGGAGGCGUAUAGUAGCCCUUACGCUAUGCAUCCUAGGGGCAACAAAAUGUAUAGGGAUCUUCGAGAGUUGUACUAGUGGCCAAGGUUGAAACGUGAGGUGACAGACUUUGUUGCUCGUUGUUUGACUUACCAGCAGGUUAAAGCUGAGCAUCAGUUACCUUAGGGUUUGCUACAGCCAGUGAAAAUACCGAUGUGGAAAUAGGAGCAAGUAACGAUGGACUUCAUUAGUGGGUUGCCUCUAACACCUACUAAGAAGGACUCUGUUUAGGUCAUCGUAGAUCGAUUAACCAAGUCUACACAUUUCAUUCCUGUUAGGAUGGACUUCUCCUUGCAAAAGCUGGCUAAGCUCUACAUUUUCGAGAUAGUGAGGUUGCGUGGGGUUCCUGUUUCGAUCAUUUCCGAUAGGGAUCCUCGUUUUAUGUCUCGAUUUUAGCAGAAACUUUAUGAGGCUUUAGGUUAUCGUCUGGACUUCAGUAUUGCUUUUCAUCCUCAGACAGAUGGUCAGUCAGAGAAGGUGAUUCAGAUAUUAGAGGACAUGCUGAGGGGUUGUGUCAUGGAUUUCCAUGGUAGUUGGGAGGAGUACUUGCCAUUGGCAGAGUUCGCUUACAAUGACAGCUAUCAGUCUAGUAUUCAGAUGGCACCGUACGAGGCACUUUAUGGUCGUAAGUGUCGCACUCCUUUAUGCUGGACUGAGUUAGGUGAGCGACGUAUUCUAGGUCCGGAGUUAGUAUUAGAGACUGAGGAUGAGGUCCACUUGAUUUGGGAUCGACUGGAAGCGGCUUCUGAUAGACAGAAGUCCUAUGCGGAUUUGAAAAGGAAGGACAUCGAGUAUUUUGUGGGAGACAUGGUUUUUCUGAAGGUCUCGCCAGGGAAAAAGGUUUUGAAGUUCAGUCGUAAGGGCAAGUUGAGUCCUCGAUUUUUUGGGCCAUACCGGAUUCUGAAGCGAGUAGGGCCAGUCGCAUAUCAGUUGGAGCUACCUUCAGAGUUGGAUCGUAUUCAUGACGUAUUCCAUGUAUCGAUGUUGAGACGGUAUCGCUUUGAUCCUAUGCACAUUGUGCCUGUGGAAGAGAUUGAGGUUAGACCAGAUCUGACAUUCGAGGAGGAGCCGAUUUAGAUUUUGGAUCGCGACGUUAGGGUACUGCGUAAGAAGUCUAUUCCCUUAGUGAAGGUGCUGUGGCGGAAUCAUAGCACUGAAGAGGCUACAUGGGAGCUGGAGGAUUCGAUGCGUCACCAAUAUCCUCACCUUUUCUGAUCAGGUAAAAUUCGUGGAUGAAUUUUUUUUAAGUGGUGGAGUUGUAACGCCCCAAAUUUUUUAUUUUUGGCUUUUGGCAGUUUUUGGGCUUGGGAAGUGUCUGAAUUAAUGGUUAAUGUUAUUUCUGUCUUAAAUAUGUGUUGGGUUAAGUAACUUUGAGCUCUGGGUGUGUCAGGGAAAUCUUAAGUUCAAGCUAUAAUUUGGGCUAAAUUUGGGUUUUAUUGGAAUAAAGCCUGACUUGAGAUCAGUGGGCUUUUAAGGAGUUGCUGGUAAAGACUUAAUAGAAUGAGCCUGCUGGUCUAGUGGUUAAGUGGCAAGGGAUGAUGCCUAGGGUCAGGGGUUUGAUUCCCUGUGGUAGCGAUGGGAUUAUUUUUGCUACAAGUUCUAGUAAGCGAUGGGCUUUAGUAAAUUCUGAGUUGUGGGCUUAAGGAAAAACCUAGGGUUUUCUUCUUUUCCUCUUUUCUGUCAAUAGUUGCUUUUUCUGCCAUUUUUCUUUUUUCUCAAUUUCCCUUGUGCAGAAAAUUCUCUGCUUCCUUUCCUUUCUCCUUCGUUUUGCUUUUCUUUUUCGAUAAGCUUAGGUGUGUUCAAGCGGUUCUGCCAAUUCGGUAAGUAGCGUUUAAAUUAAGUUAAAUGUUUUCUGUUGGAGAUUGUUAAGAGUGACUUUGGUUGCUAUUUAGGGAGUAAUCAAGGCUCGGUAGAUCAGUAAUUGAGUUCUUAGCAAAUGAUGAAAUACCAUUCUUCAUCGAAGGUAAGUAGAUCUCGCGUUUCGGGAUUUGUUCAUUCCUAAGUAAAAUGAUUUAAGUGAUUGAUUUGGGCUCGGUUUUGCAAUCUUAGGCAUUGGACUGCUCGUGGUUGGAUUAGCAGCGAAAAUAAACUAGGUGUGUACUCCGAUUGCAUAGAAAAUGAGUUUCGACGAAAGUCGAAAAACCAGUCUGUUGACGCCACACGGGCAUAUGGUCUGCCCAUGUGGUAGCUUGCAUCGCGAGACACAGGCGUGUGACAGAUGAGCCAGCCAGUGCGCUUACCAUACGGGCGCGAUUGAUAUGGGCGUGUGAGGUAGGCGAGGCCGUGUGCGAGGCACAGGCUCGACCAUUUGGGUCGUGCAGGCCGCAGGGGCAUGUAGGUCACAUGGAUGAACCACACGGGCGAGUGGGUCUUGGGCUAGGCCGUGUGAUCCACACGGGCAAGGCUAAUUUGGGUCUUGUGGGCCCACACUCCUAGGGCACAUAGGCGUGUGAGCCCAAUUUUCCUUAAAUGUUCUGUAAGGUUGUACGGGUUGCCUUAGUCGACUGUGACCUGCCUGUAGGGUCGGUAAGCAUUUUUUUUAUCCCAUACUGUGAAUAAUUUUUGUGUUGUAUGUAAAACAUGUUACGACAAGCAUGUAUAUUUGUCUGAUUUCGUAUAUCUGUUCUGCUAUGAUGUGAUCUGAUUUCUGCAUGAAAGCAUGCCACGAUAUUCAUGAUGCAUUGUAUUGGGUUGGAUUGUUGUGAAGAGAAGGAAGUCUGAGAGGCGAUUAGCCUAUUACCAGGCAACUACGCUACAUAUAUCUGUUAUGUACUGUUUUACAGUACCACUUGGUGUGUAGGGCUGGAUCGGUCAAUUUUAUCCCCAUACGUGAUGUGUAGGGCUGGGUGGGUCGAUUUUAUCCCCACAUGAUGUGUUGGGUUGGACGGAGAUAAUGUGCAGGGUUAGUGGACAUGAUUUCUAUUGUCUGAUAUCUGAUCUGGUCUGCAUGCGACAUCAGUAUGGCUAAGGCCGAAUAUCUAUAUCCUGUUAUCUGCUUGUAUGCAUGCUGUUUGUGGGGAUGUACACACUGAGUUUUCGAAAACUCACCCCUUUAUUUAUUUUAUGUCAAGUAAUCCUCAGCAGUAGAUGGAUCGGUGUGGCAGAGGGCUCGAUUGUGACCACUGUUAGACUCGUGGAUUUUUUAGUAACGUUUAUUUCAUCUGUUUAAGUGUUUUUCCUAUAUUUGUUUUGGGAUUUAAUUUUUGGACUUGAGCUAUUUGUUUUGGGUUUAUUUUGGGGUUGUUAAAUUGUCAAGUUGUUGAUUUACGAAUUAUUAAUGUUUUAGCUUCCGCAUAAAAGAACGAUUUUCAAACAAUUAAUGGAGUAAGGAUUUCCCGAUUUAAGUAAAGAUAAUAAUCUGAAUGAUUUUAACUUACUAAGCUUUUAUAAAAGCACUCUCAUGUAACGCCGCCAGAUUCGGCCAUAACGUCUGGGCCGGGUUUGGGGUGUUACAAUCUCUGUUUGAAUGUAAUGACCCAAAAUUCACGGGCAUCAAAAAAGUGCAAUAUCGGGCAUCUGUCUUAGUAAAGUGAAUUAGUAAAUAAUUAUUAGGAGUAAUUAUGAGUCUAUUAGUGACCUUAAUUAAGUUUUAAUUAGGUGAAUUUAACUUAAUUAAUAGUAAUUAGGAGAAAUGACUAAAUUGAAUAAGGGGUAAAAGUCUAAUUAUAGAUUAAAAGGAAAUAACAAGGACCAAAUAAGAAAUUAAGCCUAUUUAGGAAGAUGAGGCGGCAAAAUGGAGUAAAAAUCUAAGAUUUUUACAAACAAUGAUUAUAUAUAAAUAUUUAAUUUAGUUAUAAAAUUUUAUUAAAUCAAUUUUAAAUAAUUAGAUUUUUAUAUGAUAAAUAAAGUAUGCUUUUGACAAGUGGAUGGUGAUAAAAAUAUACAAGUGUAAUAAUAAUAUGUAUACAAUUGUAACAUAAAUAUUUAAUUACUUUUUAUUUAAGUAAAUAGAUAUUUAUUACUUAUUAUUAUUAAGUUAAAAGAUAUUUAUUAAUUAAAUAAUUAUAUUAUAAGAUUUUUAUGUGAUAAAUAAAUUAAAUGGUGAUAAGUGUAUUAAUAAAAAUACAUACAUUUGUAAUAUAUGCAAUAAUUAUUUAAUAGAUAUUUAUUAAAUUAUUGUAGAUAUUAUUAUUAUUAUUAUUAUUAUUGAUAUUAUACUAUUAAAUAAAUUAAAAAAUGACAAAUGUAUGGGGAUGAGACCAUACAUUUGUAAUAAAUAUAAAUAUGUACACUUGUUAUAUAAUUAUUAAUUUACUUAAUAUUAAAGUAAAAGAUAUUUUAAUAUAUGAUAUUAAUAUCAUAUUAUGUUAAUAAAAUAAUAAAGCAUAAAAGAAAUAAGAAACAAAGAUAGAAAAGAAGAACAUAAUAGCAACGGGAAAGAAAAGAAGAAAAGGAAAAACUAGGGUUUGGGAGCUUUAAGCUUUAAUAGGUAAGUUAAUUAAGUCAUUUUCUUUUAAUUUUGAUGUUUUAGAAGUUUUAAAAUAAAGUUUUGUAGAAAUUAAGUUGAGAUUUUGAAAGUUCUUAGGUUUAUUAGUAUAGUUCACGUUGAACAAAUGAUUUUAGGAAUUAAAUUGAUAGAAUUCUUAUUUAGAAUUGAUUAAAGGAUUAAAUUGUAAAGUAAGCUAUAAGUUUUGUGUUUGAAGGACUAAAUUGAAAGAAAUUUAAAAUUAGGGUUUUAUCAUGAACAUUGGAUAUUUAUGUUGAAUAUGAUAAGAAAUUGAGUAGAAAUAAAAUAUGAAUUGAGUUAGAAAAGUAAGUGAACUUAGUUAGGAUCAAAUUAAGGUAGAAAUUAAAUAGAAAUUCAAUUAUUCAAUAUAAAUUAGUGUUGUAUUAAUAGUAUAAAUUAUUUUAAUUUUCGUAGCUAGCAAAAAACCCAAGGCAUCGGCAUCAAAAGGAAAAGAAAAGGUUAUCGAUGAGUAAUCAAGCAAAUCACAGUUUGUAUUACUAUAAUUCGAAUCUAUUUAUUAUUAAUUGUUAUAUUUUAAUUAAAAUGCAUGGUAAGUAAAAUUAGGUAAGCAAUUGAAAUGAUAAUAUUGAUUUGAAUAAAAUUGAUUCAAAAAUGUUUAUGACUAUUGAAAUUGAAUGUGAACAAAUUGAAAAUUAAAAGUGAUUUGAAUUAAGUAAUUGAAUUAUGAAUUAUGUGAAUAUUUGAAAGUAUAUUGAUUGGAAACUAAGAGAGAUUUUGUAACACCCUAGACCCGGCCUAGACGUUACGGUCGAAUCCGAUGUGCCACAUCAUUUGCCCGAAAACCCGAAAAGCUUAUGAUGAUAAGUUGGUUGUCGAAAAAGCCUUUAAAGAUUAAGAGGUAGAGUAUGCCUAUUGUUUCGUGCUAUUUAAAAUGUGUAUAGUUUUCAUGACGUUUAUUAUUAUUGGAAUUGAUAUUUAUAGGUUCGAUUUUAGAAAACGUUGUUAUUUUGAAAACCCGUAGUUCCUACUCUAGCAGUUUAUAGAUAUUAAAUCAUAGCCGAUAAAAGUUAAAAAUCUCCCAAUGGCCUUAUUACAUAACAAAACUCAUAAAUGAUUUCUAUAAGCGAAUAAACCAUAAUCAAGUCUUUUGAGUUCGUGUGGCCGUCUCCGAGUCCUUCGCAGCUCCAAAUCAUCUAAGCUCAGGGAUUACCUACACAAUUAGAAACAGGGUGAGUUUAUGAAAACUCAGUGUGUAACCCCCUUUGUAACACCCCUUACCCGUAUCUAAGGCUGGAACAGAGUACGAGGCAUUACCAGACUUAACAAUACACAUAGACAAAAACCGGGCCAUAAAAUUUCAUUUAAUUCAAAACUUUUCGAACACAUGCAUAACAAACAAAGCUAACUAUAUCAUCACAUCAAAACAUAGGACAUGGCACGAUUAAUUAAACUUAUAAACCAUUAUGGAUAAGGACUACACCUCAUGAUCAUAUACGAUAACUCAAUGCAGACUGAUACGUAUAGUCAAAAUCAUAAUAAAAAUACAUAUCACAAACCAACUUCCUAUACAUGCCACUCACUUGAUAUUUCUAAUAUUUGAAUUAAUUCUCCCAAAAUGACAGUUUGAUAGUGUGAUUUUGCCUCCGAUGAUCUCCAACCCCGAGCCGACCUGCCAAUACUAAAGAAAUGGUAGAGGAUGGGUAAGCUUUACGCUUAGUAAGUUCAUAUUAAAAUAAUAAGCAAUUACUACCACGCUUUUCAAGAUAAAAUAUUAUAAUUGUACAAUUACACAUGUUCAGGUUAAGUUGUGUUAUCGAGUUACAGUUACUAAAUCAUUCAUAUCUGAAGAUACAAAACUCAAAAUUUAGUUUUGUUAAUUUUCCUUGAAACUAGACUCAUAUAUCUUUCUCCCAUAAAAUUUCCAGAAUUUUUGGUUUAGCCAAUUAGUACAGUUUAUUCAUUAAAAUUUCCCCUGUUUCAGGGUACGACUACUCUGACCCCUGUGCACUACUAACCAAAUGUCUCCCUGUACAGAAUUUCAACGACCAUUCUGUUUAUUUCCCUUAAAAUUAGACUCAAUAAGGAAUCCAUGCAUGUAAGGUAUGACUCUUAAUAAUUUUUGUACAAUUUAUGGUGAAUUUCUAAAGACAGAAUAGGGGAUCUCGAAUUUAUUCUGACACUGUCUCACAAAAAUUAUAAUAUCACAUAAUAUAUAACUCUCUUGCUCCCCCUGUUUCUUUUAUAUGAAAAUAGACUCAUUAAUAUUUAAUUCCAUAAUUUUUUAAAUUUAAUUCAACUUACACAAUAUUUGGUAAAUUUUCAAAGUCAUGCACUGCUGCUGUUUAACACUGUUUUACUACUAAAGUUCACUUUUACACAAUUCACUUAAUCCAUUCCAUUUUACCGAGGUUCGCUCAAAUAUCGAGCAUAUUGCUCAUAAAUUCAAAUAAACAUAUACUUGCACUUGUUCAUCACAUAAUCACUUUCACAUGUAUUUUCAUUUAAUCGAUUUCCCGUUGAACUCAUCAGAAUAAUAACAGAUACACAAUUGCCUGCACAUUUUCCCAUUUCCACACUUGUAGCCGAAGCUAUCUGGUACGCAUAGUAGCCUGCACUUAGUACUACACAUGCGACCAAUAAUCUGGUACACGUAGUAGCCUGCACUUAGUACUACACACGUGACCUCACAAUAGUUCAUUUGUAUCGUUUCUAUUCUAAAGGUUCAACCGGGAAAUUCCUCACUUUUCAACAUUUUACUAAAUUGUCCGUAAUCAAUUUAAAUUCAUAACUUACAUCAAAUAACCAUUUGAUAGGCAGCAACAUUUCAUAUGAUAUCAAAAUAUAAUAACAUAAAAAGAAUCGAUAGAUUAUUUAUGUACGAACUUACUCGAAGUGUCGAUCUCACUAUCCAUAGUACCAAUUGUCCAUUCAUAGUAUAAUAAGACACAACUCAAAUAUCAAAUCAACUUUUAAGAAUUUACAUAACAUCACUUGUCAUGUAUCAUCAUUUUCUUGCAUUUCAUGUAACAUUCUUUCAUGUCAUAUUUCCACAUCAUAAACACCAUUCCAUCAACUUUUCCAAUAUAUUAAAUCAUACAAUAUAUGCAAUAAUAGUAAGAAAUAUAAUUCAAACAUAACAUUGUAUUAUUAUUAUCAUACGAACUUACCUCGAUCCAGAAACAGCAAUUUACCAUUUUAGUCCAUAACCUUGUAUUUUCCCGAUUUAAGCCUGAAUCUCGAUUUCCUUCAUCUAUAAUAUCACAUUUAGCCUAAUAAUUAGUCACACUAUUCAUACGGGUCCAAAAAUCAUAUUUUUACAAAUUUUCAUUUUGACCCCUAAACUUUUGCAUAUUUGCACUUUUUCCCCAAGGUUCGGAAAUUAAACUUCAUCCUAUUUUCUUAUGUUUUAUGGCAUGCUGAUCAUUUUUCCCUUCUAUGGAAACAUCAAAUUCUCACUCUAACAUGUACUUAUGACUAUUAGGUAUUUUUACCGAUUAAGCCCUUUUACUCGUUUUCACUUAAAACCGAGUAGCACAAGUUGUCUAACAUAAUUUAAAACCUCAUAUUCUAUCAUAAAACACCAAAAUACACAAAUUUCACCUAUGAGUAUUUUUCCAAAUAUGAACCCUAGAUUGAAUUAUUGCUAGCAUAAGCUAAAUCAAGUUACCGGGACUCCAAAAACGUAAAAAUCAUUAAAAAUGAGGCUAGAACGGACUUACAAUCGAGCUUGGAAGCUUGGAAAUCCUAUCCGUGGAUUCUCCCUUGGUAUACACGUCCAUGUUGAAGAAGAUGAACAAAACUGGCUUUUAAUUUUGUAUUUUAAUUCAUUUUACCCUUAAAUGACCAAAAUGCCCUUUUUACUAAACUUUCCAAAAAUUCCAUCCAUGUCCAAUUUUUGUCCAUAAACUUAAAAAUUGGUCAAAUUUCUAUUUAAGACCUCCUAAUUAAUAUUUCAAACCAAUUUCAUACUAGGAACUUCUAGAAUGUAAGUUUUACAACUUAUUCAAUUUAGUCCCUAACUUCAAAUUAAGCACUUUAUGCAUAGAAUUUCUUCACGAAAUUUUCACACAAUCAUGCAAUCAUAUCAUAGACCUCAAAAUAAUCAUAAAAUAAUUAUUUAUAUCUUGGAUUUGUGGUCUCAAAACCACUAUUCCAAUUAGGCCCUAAUUCGGGAUAUUACAACUCUCCCCCCUUUAGGGAUUUUCGUCCCCGAAAAUCUUACCGGAAAAGUAGUCUUCACUUAGAUUCCUAAAUUUCAUAUUCAGUGCUGAAGAAAUUUCACUCAGGCAGUGCCUCCAAUAUAUCUCUUUAAUUUCUCAUAUAUUCUGAAAGCUUACGGACUCAUCUCUUAAUUGUUCUUAAAUUUUCAACCCUUCUCCGUUUCCCUUGUCAUCUUGACAUAAAACCAGAUCUCAAUUUGGUUAAUGGAGACUAAAAUUCCAAGAAAUCCAACAAUCAAAGGGACCUACACUCUUCCGAAAUAAUCAUACAGUUUUUUAUCAUCAAUAAAUCACAAUCCAAUAACAUCUUAAACAAAUUACAAUACACGUCAUUACUUUCUAAAUGAAUAGGCAAAUUUUCACUGUGAGCUUCAUACAAUUCAUUCUGUAUAAGCCUCAGAAUAAUAAUAAUACCAUGAAUCAGAUCCAAUCUGAAAUUCAACAUCAGAAGUCGAUCCUCACUAUACUCUUUUAGUUUACUACUCACUAUCACAUUUUCCUCUUUCUGCUACGGAAAUAAUUCUGAUAUAGCCUCGAAAAUAAUCCUUUCUCAUUUUCAUCCUAAUAUCAAUACUGGCAGAGAUAACUCUAGUAGAUCCUGAUGCUCGUCUUUAACCUCAUUAACAACUCAGAUUUUCCGUGGCAUCGAAUGCUCUAAACUAUUUCAUUACCUUAUUGUCUUGAAACACAUUACAAUUCAUACAGAUUGAACACUCGAGUCGAUCUUAAUCACCAGUGAAUGACAUUUCAAGUAAUUCCUUUCUUCUAGUUACAAAAAAAUUCAUCAUACCAUCCUUUACUAUUCAUUCCUUACGUUAAUCAAAACCGUCUCAAUUGCAUUAGCUCAAGUAACCAAAAUAUCUCAAUUGAAGAUAUUAACUAUAAUUGACUUACUUAAGAGAAGUAAUCCACCAUACCGAUUGAAACUCGCCCUUUUAUCACUUAUGCCUUUACUGUUGUCAAACCUUACACGAAAAUUAGAAAAAUCCCAAUACUGGAAUCACCACAUUACCCAAAUCAAAUCAGAAGUAUAGUCAUACUUGACAUGAUUAUCACGACCUGAAGAAUGCACUUCAAACAUGAGUCAUAAUUGACAAAUUACGGAAUAAAGAUAACAAGAAAACUGAAUAAAGAAAUCCAAGAUAGAAAAACCCAGAAUAAAGAAAUCAGAAUAAAGAAACCCAAGAUACGGUACUAUGCCGGAAAAUAGAAAACCAAACUCAUAGGAAAUAUAGAAGAUCCCGAUAAUUCCUCAGAGAAAAGAAAUCCAGUAGAAAACAUCAUUUAAUCUCACUGGAAUCAAAUGCAACAAGAACAAUGUAUCUUCCCAUAUAUAUACAUAUCAAAUGGAGCAUCAAGUAGAAGAAACAGAAUCAUAGUAUCAUACAUAUUCUCUCACCAAUUUUUUUAUCAGGCAGAAUAUAAUGGAAUGCCCGAAGGAAUAGAGUAAUACAAAUUAUAAACCAAUCAGGCUACCAAUGUUUUCGUCUAACAUCAAGAUUAGAAAACAUCCCCAUAUAACAAAAAUUUCUUCAAAAGAUCAAUAACGAUAGAAAUAUUUCUAGGAACGGAUAAACACACAGAACAUCUUAGAAGAAACUACUAAAAUCUGUCUAGCCGUAACUGUCACACUCAGAUAUUACACAUUUUAGAUAUCAUUUCCCCAACUAUUUCUGCCAUCACAAAUUUCAUAUUUCUUUUCACUAAAGAAAACUAGUUCUGAAUAAAUUUUGAUUUUCACUUUUCUCGACCUUGUACCUUAGUAAUUCGAUUUAUCAAAAUAAAUUUCUUCUCUAAUUGGAACAGUGCAUAACUCCAAUAAUCCUUAUGCCAAUUUGAUAGUUUUCUAGCUUUGACUCUACUUAUCAACUCAUUCUUCAAUCUCUAAUCAUAUUUAUAAUUAUUCUAGCACUGAACUCUUUGGUUUCUCAACCGGAAACUUAUUCAGUACAAAUCUCAUGAAAUUCCAUUAUAAAACACCACUUUGGUAAAGGGGAAGGGGUCGUAGGGCCUCUAACUCAACUCUCAUAUACAUAUACAUAUACAUGUAACACAGUUUUCAUCAUAGCAAUCAUAUCUCAAUCAUGUCAUUCAUUUCGAGGAACUAGCAUUCAUAUUGGUUUAAUGCCCACUUUCCAGUUAUCUCAUUUAGUCAAGUAUAAUUAUACAUGCAUCCUAUGUUUUCUAGAUUGCUUGACUUAUCCAUUCAUCUACUUGAACAAAUCAUACUCAUGACAUCAUAUAAGGGUUAAACAAACAUAGAUAUUUGCAUCACAAUCGCAACUUUCAUUUCGUGCAUCAUCAUAUACAUAUCAUUACAAUCACAUAAUUCAGUCCAAACAAUUUAACAUAGAUAAAUUCAUUUCAUUAUAAUCAUUUAUCUCAUAAAAAAAUAUCAUUGACAUUCAUCAACAUUCAACGUUCAAUCAAGGCAAUGACAUUUUCAUUCAUAUCAUGAUAUUAGGAACUUUUACUCAUACCUCUACGAAUUUCUAUUUAUCCCGUUCAUCUUAUCAAGUAAGUCAAAUACACUACAUCAUAUGAGCAUCAAGCAAGUAUAGAUGUUUAUCACAACAUGACCUUUCAUCUCACAUGUUAUCACUUCUAUAUAUCAUAAAUUUUUAUUCAUACUUUUCUAAAUCAAGACUCAUCAUAAUCGUAAUUUUUUUCAAACACCUUCGUAUCACAUUGAACAUGGUCAAUGCAGCACGGUUAGAGAGUACCUCUGUCUAAACAAGACGGUGCUCAUACGCGUCGGGAGACAUCACACUAUCACAGAUCAGUGGCAUGUAUAGCUGGACUUUUACACAUGCUAGGUUAGUCCGAGAACCGACUAAACCAUAGCCUGAUACCAAUAAAUGUAACACCCUUACCCGUAUCCAAGGCUGGAACAGAGUAUCAGGCAUUACCAGACUUAACAAUACACAUAGACGAAAACCGGGCCAUAAAAUUUCAUUUAAUUCAAAACUUUUCGAACACAUGCAUAACAAACAAAGCUAACUAUAUCAUCAGAUCCAAACAUAGGACAUGUCACGAUUAAUUAAACUUAUAAACCAUAAUGGAUAAGGACUACAUCUCAUGAUCAUAUACGAUAACUCAAUGUAGACUGAUACGUAUGGUCAAAAUCAUAAUAAAAAUACAUAUCACAAACCAACUUCCUGUACAUACCACUCACUUGAUAUUUCUAAUAUUUGAAUUAAUUCUCCCAAAAUGAUAGUUUGAUAGUGUGAUUUUGCCUCCGAUGAUCUCCAACCCCGAGCCGACCUGCCAAUACUAAAGAAAUGGAGAGGAUGGGUAAGUUUUACGCUUAGUAAGUUCAUAUGAAAAUAAUAAGCAAUUACUACCACGCUUUUCAAGAUAAAAUAUUAUAAUUGUACAAUUACACAUGUUUAGGUUAAGCUAUGUUAUCGAGUUACAGUUACUAAAUCAUUUAUAUCUGAAGCUAAAAAAUUCCAAAUUUAGUUUCGUUAAUUUUCCUUGAAACUAGAUUCAUAUAUAUUUCUCCCAUAAAAUUUCCAGAAUUUUUGGUUUAGCCAAUUAGUACAGUUUAUUCAUUAACAUUUCCCCUAUUUCAGGGUAUGACUACUCUGACCCCUAUGUACUACAAACCAAAUUUCUCCCUGUACAGAAUUUCAACGACAAUUUCGUUUGUUUCCCUUAAAAAUAGACUCAACAAAGAAUCCAUGCAUGUAAGGUAUGACUCUUAAUAAUUUUUGUACAAUUUAUGGUGAAUUUCUAAACUCAGAACAGGGGAUCUCAAAUUUAUUCUAACACUGUCUGACAAAAAUUAUAAUAUCACAUAAUAUAUAAAUCUUUUGCUUCCCUUGUUUCUUUUAUAUAAAAAUAGACUCAUUAAUAUUUAAUUCCAUAAUUUUUUUUAAAUUUAAUUCAACUUAUACAAUUUUUGGUAAAUUUUCAAAGUCAUGCACUACUGCUGUUCAACACUGUUUUACUACUAAAGUUCACUUUUACACAAUUCACUUAAUCCAUUCCAUUUUACCGAGGUUCACUCAAAUAUCGAGCAUAUUGCUCAUAAAUUCAAAUAAACAUAUACUUGCACUUGGUCAUCACAUAAUCACUUUCACAUGUAUUUUCAUUUAAUUCAUUUCUCGUUGAACUCAUCGGAAUAAUAACAGAUACACAAUUGCCUGCACAUUUUCCCAUUUCCACACUUGUAGCCGAAGCUAUCUGGUACGCAUAGUAGCCUGUACUUAGUACUACACAUGCGACCAAUAAUCUGGUACACGUAGUAGCCUGCACUUAGUACUACACACGUGACCUCACAAUAGUUCAUUUGUAUCGUUUCUAUUCCGAAGGUUCAACCGAGAAAUUCCUCACUUUUCAACAUUUUACUAAAUUGUCCGUAAUCAAUUUAAAUUCAUAACUUACAUCAAACAACCAUUUGAUAGGCAGCCACAUUUCAUAUGAUAUCAAAAUAUAAUAACAUAAAAAGAAUCGAUAGAUUAUUUAUGUACGAACUUACUCGAAGUGUCGAUCUCACUAUCCAUAGUACCAAUUGUCCAUUCAUAGUAUAAUAAGACACAACUCAAAUAUCAAAUCAACUUUUAAGAAUUUACAUAACAUAUAUCACAUAUUUCAUAUAUCACUUGUCAUGUAUCAUCAAUUUCUUGCAUUUCAUGUAACAUUUUUUCAUGUCAUAUUUCCACAUCAUAAACACCAUUCCAUCAACUUUUCCAAUAUAUUAAAUCAUACAAUAUAUGCAAUAAUAGUAAGAAAUAUAAUUCAAACAUAACAUUGCAUUAUUAUUAUCAUACGAACUUACCUCGAUCCAGAAACGACAAUUUACCAUUUUAGUCUAUAACAUUGUAUUUUCCCGAUUUAAGCCUGAAUCUCGAUUUCCUUCAUCUAUAAUAUCACAUUUAGCCUAAUAAUUAGUCACACUAUUCAUACGGGUCCAAAAAUCAUAUUUUUACAAAUUUUCAUUUUGACCCCUAAACUUUUGCAUAUUUGCACUUUUGCCCCAAGGUUCGGAAAUUAAACUUCAUCCUAUUUUCUUAUGUUUUGUGACAUGCUAAUCAUUUUUCCCUUCUAUGGAAACAUCAAAUUCUCACUCUAACAUGUUCUUAUGACUAUUAGGUAUUUUUACCGAUUAAGCCUUUUUACUCGUUUUCACUUAAAACCGAGUAGCACAAGUUGUCUAACAUAAUUUAAAACCUCAUAUUCUAUCAUAAAACACCAAAAUACACAAAUUUCACCUAUGAGUAUUUUUCCAAAUAUGAACCCUAGGUUGAAUUAUUGCUAGCAUAAGUUAAAUCAAGUUACUGGGACUCCAAAAACGUAAAAAUUAUUAAAAACGAGGCUAAAACAGACUUACAGUCGAGCUUGGAAUCUUGGAAGCCCUAGCCAUGGAGUUUCCCUUGGUAUACACGUCCAUGGUGAAGAAUAUGAACAAAAUUGGCUUUUAAUUUUGUAUUUUAAUUCAUUUUACCCCUAAAUGACCAAAAUGCCCUUUUUACUAAACUUUCCAAAAAUUUCAUCCAUGUCCAAUUUUUGUCCAUAAACUUAGAAAUUGGUCAAAUUGCUAUUUAAGACCUCCUAAUUAAUAUUUCAAAGCAAUUUCAUACUAGAAACUUCUAGAAUUCAAUUUUUGCAACUUAUUCAAUUUAGUCCCUAACUUCAAAUUAAGCACUUUAUGCAUAGAAUUUCUUCACGAAAUUUUCACACAAUCAUGCAAUCAUAUCAUAGACCCUCAAUAAUCAUAAAAUAAUUAUUUCUAUCUAAGAUUUAUGGCCUUGAAACCACUAUUCUGAUUAGGCCCUAAUUCGGGAUAUUACACCCUUACCAGAGUAACAGUCUAUAUACAGAACAGAACAGUUUGGGCCUUAGCCCUAUUCAGUAACAAUGUAGUCUGGGCCUAAGCCCUACACAGUAGUCCAACACACAUAUGCAACCCAUCCCAAUCCAACCAUCACACCUCCCGUACCAACCGUCACACCAUGUGAGGAUUAAAUCGACCCACCUACCUAGCACACCAGCAUCGCAGCCAGGCUGCUAUAGGUAACGCAGCAAAGCUGCUAGUAGUAAUAAGCGCGGCAUAGCUACUAAUGUCAAUAUGUGGCAAGGCCACUAGUACAGUACUUCCUUCGAAUUAAAAUCCCAAUGCCAAUGCAGAAUGUCAUAAAUAAUACAUGUAUGCAGUGCCAUACUCAAAACCAGUCAUAUCAAUGUCAUACACCUGCCAAUUAACCUACUACUGGGGUAUCAAGGUCAUUUCGUUAGUUAGGGGUAAAGUAGCAAUUUUACCCUUUGGGGGUAAUUUAGUCAUUUAACCAAUUUUUAGGGUCUCGAUACUGAAAACGACCCUUCAGAAGGUCUACGGUCGUCUUGAACGACUCAGACGACCAAUAAGGAAAAAACAGUGCAAAUGGGCCCAAGGCCCUAUACUCGGCCCAACAAGGCCCUAGUCCAUGAAAUGCACGUAACGGUCUUAUAGUCCACUGCCCAUAAUAUGUGGAUUUGGUUCACCCCACGAGCGACCGCACGCUCGCAAAGCCUCAAAAGCUAAAGUUUUGGCUUUUCGGCUUUUGCCGAUCUACAAUAGCCUUGGUGUGGUUACACACCUACAUUCAUCUUUGGACACAGCGUAAGAUUGGGUGUAUGACUACACACCUUGAUUUGCGAAAGCAAAAGAAUCCCCUACGAGUCCAAGGCCUACAAUCAAUCCAACAUUCAGUUAGUCUCCACCACAUUCAAUCGUAACAACUACUCUUAAACCAACCCUCCUACUUACCUUAAUCGCAGAGAAGGUGACCAACUAAAUCUAGAUUAACUAGGGUUGAUCUCAAGUAUCUUAGCCCUUAACUGCACACACGACAGUUUAACAAAUAAAAACAAAUAAAAAUAACCUAAUGCUCCUAAAGAUAACACUCUUAAAAGAGUAAUAAUCGGCCUACCUAAAUGUUGGAAGACAGGAUUCCGAUGGCUCAAGAACGUUCUGCGCCCUUCGUUCCUUAGUGAUAACUAAACCCCGCCAACAUACAUCAUAGAAAAAGAAGUCACCACUCGACAAAAAUAGAGGACUAAGAGAAAGGAAUAUUCGGCUUAGAGAGAAAAAUAAUUAUAAUAAAAGAAACAAGGUUAACAGUCACCACACGACAUACUUACCACUAUCAGAGAGGCACCGAAUUCGCUCAAUCAAACUAACCAGGCAACACAGAAUUUAAAAGAUGAAUAAAAGAAAUAGGGGAAAGAUUCGACAGAGAGAAAGGAUAUUCGGCUAACACAGAGACAACCCAAACGAGAUGGACCAAAUGAUUAAAUGGUAUUCGGCCAAAGUUCUUAAAGGUAGAAGUGCAAUAGAGAUGCGACGAAAAAAGGGUUUGAGAGUAAGUAGAAGGAAAAGAGAAUUUCAGCACAGUGUUGAGUGUAAACUAGGGUAGUGUUUAGUCAGGGACUUAGAAGAGAAAAAAGAAAGAAAAGGUUUUACCAAUCGGCACAAAAUGAAACAAAGAUUUCGGCUUUUCUCAAAAGGCAUACAAAGGAAUCGGCAGAGGAGAAUAAUACUCAAAGUGACCAACAAGAGCAAAAAGAACAAUAGCCAAAGAAGAGUCCGGCCCCUACUCCCUACCCAAAUGCCGAAAAUACACUCCCCAAACCCCUUAGUCGAAUUUGCACCCUCACACACUCCCAUACGGCUACAAACUCCUUCCCAUUUCAAAUUCCAUGAUAAUCUCCAAGAUUUUCUCCCCUUAUCCCUCCAUAACAACCUUUAAGACCCAUUCAAACACUCCCCCGGUAGAGUUUCAAUCCACUACUAACUCUUUCCAUCCCAAGCAGCAAAAGUAACAUCUUUUACCUUCUAUGAGAUUCGAACCACAGUCUUCUCAUCUGUCAGAACACGCCACAUGCCUCCAAGCCACAAAGCUUUUUGUGAUAACAAACAAACACAAUUAUUAAUAAAGCCCAGGUGCCAACGUUCAAGUUCUUUUCCAAGAAAAAAAACAAAAAUUUUUCAAAAGCCAGAACCAAAACCCAGGCCUUCCCAAACCCCCCUAAACACGCCCAAAUCAUUAAACCACCACACCAGACAUGCAAUUUGUGCCAAACCCGGUGAAAUUAUAAACCUUAAAUUUUUAGGGCGUUACAGAUUUGAAUUGAAUCAAAUUAAAUUGAAUGAAGAAAAUAUGUGAGUAUUUGAAAUGUAUAUUGAUUGAAAAGUAAUUAGUGAUUUGAAUUUGAUUGGAAAAUGAAUUAAAAAGAUGAAUUAAAAAAAUGAAUUAAAUUAUGAAUAUGUGUGAAUAUGUGUGAAUAUGUGAAGUGGGAUUGAAUUGAAAGUGAAUUUGAAAUAGAAAAAUGAUUUGAAUAUCCUAUUAACUAGUCAGGCUGAGUCGGAUAUAGUUGGCAUGUCAUAGGAUUGGAAGAGUACGGGAAUUUAUCGGCAUUACCGAUCACGCACUUCAUGUGUCAUAUUCAGGCACUUUAUGUGUCGUUUUAGGCACCUCGUAUGUCGUUUCAGGCACUUUAUGUGUCGUAUACUACUUCUGAUGUAUUGAUUAGGUACUGAGUACCAUUUUAGGCACAAUGUGCCAUAUGGUGUGUUUGGUUGGAAUCCGUGUAUCCGCCAAGGUCCGGGUUUGUUAAUAGGGUGAAUAACUUAAAUUGGAAAAUUAAAUAAAUUUGAUUGAUCGUACAAUUGAAAAUAUGAGAAAGAAAUUAUGAGUUGAAUUGUGAAUUGAAUUGAAAUGUGAGAUUUAAAGCAUGAACUUAAGGUUCAUGAAUUUGCUAAAAUUUUGAAUUAUUGAUAGUGAAAUCAAUUGAAUAAAUGAAACGAGAAAAUCAAAUGCAUUUGAUCGAUUGAAUAAUUGAAAGUAUGAGAAAGAGAAAUUAAGAAUUGAUAUGUGAAUUGAAUUUGAGAUAUGAGAUUUGGAAGCAUGAACCUAAAGUUCAUGAAUUGAUCAAAGCGCAAAGUGUUGAUAUAUGAUAAUUAUUGAUAAAUUGUUAUAAAUAAGAUAUUAAGUUGAAUGUAGAAUUUGUUAUUAUGAUUUACUAUAUUACAAGUCGAUGAUAAAAUUUAUUAAAAUUAUAUAGUUUGAAUUAUGGUAAUACCACUGAGGAUAGGCAUACUCAGCAUACGGUUGUUUCCAUACGUAGGUCAGUAAAAGUCAAGGUCCCGGAUCAGCAUCCAAAGCAAUCUCGACUUCAGCCCAAAAUUGGUGAUGUAAUCUUUCUUUUGAUGAUGUGAAAGUGGCAUGUACUUACGUGUAGUAUAGGUCAUGUAUAUAGGUCAAGUAAUUUUGGUUGUAGAGAAUGGUAUAUAAUGUUUGAAUUUAGAUUUAAUGAAAUGGUAGGAAAAUUCACAUGAUAUACAUGGUCUAAUUGGUGCUAAAUUUAGAAUGGAAUGAAUGAAAUUAUAAGUUAAUUUUUUUAAUGGUAAUAUGAUUGUUCAUAGAGUAAAUUAUCAAAUUAAUGUUAUAGGCGUGAUUUAAAUACGAUCAAAUAUGAAAUUGCAUUGGUUGAAAUAUUGGUUUUGGAUUGGUCUCGGUUUGAAACUUGCAGGGAAGGUUAGAUAUUUAUAAAGGGAUUAUAUUGAGUUCACACAAAAAAAUAAAUAUAAAAAAUAAAAAUAAAAUUCUGGAGCACACAAACAAGUCCCGUUUCACCCCUAUUACGUAUUUUUAGGCCUCGAGGGUCCAUUAAAGGGACUUUAUGAUUAAUUUAUAAUAAGUUUGUUAAUUAAUUAUGAAUUAUUCGUAAGUUGUUUGAUUUGUCUGGUAAUGCUCCGUAACCCUAUUUCGGCGACGGUUUAGGGUUAGGGGUGUUACAUUGAAUGUCCCACAGAUGCAUUAGAACUAUGAAACGAGUCUCAGAAUUUCCUCGAUGCAGACUGAUAAGAUUUACUAGUUGAUCUCUUUCUCGAAUCUCUUACUUCAAAAUCAGCUUUUCUCUUUUCUUUAUUAAGAUCUUCGGCUUUACAAGCCCUUUCAACCAGAACGACAAAUUCUUUCAAUUCAAGAGUCCCGACUAAUAGUUUUAUAUCCUCGUUCAGUCCAUCAACGAACCGUUUACACAUGAUCUCCUUAGUAGACACAUACUCUCAAUCAUACUUGCUUAAACGUACGAAUUCUCUUUCAUACUCAGUUACAGCCAUCUAGCCUUGUUUCAAUUCUAGAAACUCUUUAUGCUUUUGAUCGAGAAAUCGCUGACUUAUGUGCUUCUUUUGGAACUCAAAUUGAAAGAACUCCCAGGUAACCCGUUCUCUUGGAACCACAGAUAUUAGCGUUUUCCACCAAUGGUACGUGCUAUCUCUAAGUAAAGAUACCACACGUUUGAUACAUUCCUCAAGAGUACAGGACAAUUCAUCGAAUACUCGGAUCGUGUUCUCGAACUAGAAAUGUAACGCCCCUUACCCGAGACCGUUGCCGGAGUCGAGCACAAGGCACUACUAAACUUAUUUGAGCACUUAACCAAAUUUAGAUAAUUUAUAUCAUACUUUUCAGACAAGCUGUCCAACUGCGUCAUAGUUGCUAAAUAAUUCAUAUCUCGAGUUAUAAAACUCGAAACCCAAAUCCGUAAAUUUUCCCCGAAUUUAUACUCAUAUAUCUACUUACCAAUUUUUUUUAUAAUUUUUGGUUGGUCCAAUUAGUACAGUUUAUUAGUUAAAUCCUCCCCUAUUUCAGGGUUUGGCUACUUUGACCCCUUUGCACUACGAACCAAAUUUCUCUCUGUACAAAAUUAAAAUAACCAUGCCAUUUGUUUCUCUUAAAAAUAGACCCAAUUAGGAAUCCAUAAAUAUAUAGUAUGACUCAUAAUUAUUUUUUUGCAAUUUUUAAUGAUUUUCUAAAGUCAGAACAGGGGAACUCGAAGUCAUUCAGACUCUGUCUCACCAUAAUUUAAAUAUCUCAUAACAUAAAAUCCAAUUGCAUGCACUGUUUCCUCUAUAUGAAACUAGACUCAUUAGGCUUUAAUCUCAUUUUUUCCCAGCCCUUAACUCAAUUUCCACAAUUUAUGGUGAAUUUUCAAAGUCAAACUACUGCUACUUACCAAAAACUAUUUUAGUACAAAUAUUGUUAACUAGUUCAUAACAUCUUUACUUCAAUUCAUUCAAGCUCUAUACAUGCCAUAUAAAUCUUUAAACAUAAAACAAAAACUACCAGAAUUGAGCUGAAUAGUGUGCCCUGUUGUGUUGAUCCGAUCUACCCACUUCACUUCAAGUCAAUCUACAUAAAAAUAUUAAACACACACAAGUAAGCUUAUUGAAGCUUAGUAAGCUCAUAGGCAUAUAAACACAAAUCAUAUCAAAUAUCGUACACAAUCUUAUAUCUAUUAGUUUAACUAUUUCAUCCUCCAAAUCACAAUUUCAUUAAUAACUCAUUGGAAUAAUUUCCAUAUGGCUACUCACAAUUUAACUCCCUUAGGCCCAUUUCUCAUUUACUUCAUUGUCAAUUUAAGGAACAAUAAGGGAAUUGAGUGCUUCAUUAUCACAUUGCCAUAGUAAACUAAGGACUUUCACAUUGUUACGCAUCACACACCGAAGCCAUAGCCUUGCCAUGGUCUUACACGGUUCACAUAUCAUACCGAAGCCAUAUCCCAGACAUGGUCUUAUACGGAAUCACAUUAUCACAUUAUACCGAUGCCCUAGCCCAGCUAUGGUCUUAUACGGAGUCACAUUAUCACAUUGCACCGAUGCCAUAGCCCAGCUAUGGUCUUAAACGGGCACACUUAUCACAUAUUUUUCGUCAAUUCAUCAGGGUCACAGAAUAGAAGCACUCAAAUCCAUUGUUCCUACUAAUUUGUACUUUUAGUUACACAUUAUUCAUUAGUUAAUACAAAUUGAUAGUAUUCAUCAACAAUAAAAUACUUUAACAAUCAUAAGAUUUUCAUAUCAAAACAUUGAACUUUGCCAUAUGAACUUACCUGGACUAAUUUGCAAAGGUCGUAGAAAUUUAGGGACUAUUCUUGAAUUUUCUCCUUUCCACGAUUCAGUUCGUUUUCUUGAUCUAUAAUUAUAAAAUCAUUCCUUCAUUAGCAUCCAUUUCAAUUCUAUUUCACUUCACAAUUUAUGCUGUUCAAAUUUUGAAAUUGCACUUUUACCCCAAAAUUUACAGUUUUCACAAUUUAGUCCCUGCUCAAUUCACCCAUCAAUUGAACUAAUUUUUCUCAAUUAACACUUUAUUUUAUCAUUAUAAACUAUUUCAAAACCUUUUAUAUUCUUAAUUUCAACAGAAACCUUCAAUUCACAACUUUUUCACAAUUAGGUCCUAAAUAUCAUUUCCUAUCAAAAUCACUUAAUAAAACCACCUUAAUAUGAAAUUAGAACUUAAAUUUCAUAAUAAUUCAUCAUAAAAUUCCCUUAUCCAUCCAGGGUAACUUCCAAUUUCACCCAUAAAAUCAAAAACUAAUGAAUUCUACAAGUGGACCUAAUUGUAAAAGUCAUAAAAACAUAAAAAUUAUCAAGAAAAGUAAGAAUUAAACUCACAUGAUGUAAAAAUAUGAAAAACCAGCUUUCUCCAGACCUUCUAUGGCGUUUUGGCUGAGAAAAUAUGAAGAAAUGUCUAGAUUUUUCAAUUACAUCAUUAUUUAACUAUUAACUUUUAUGCUAUUUCCAAUUUUGCCCCUUGUUCACAUUGUUUUCUUGCUUAUUUCAUACCCAAACCGUCCAGCCAUUAACCUUUGGGUCUAAUUGCUCUUUAAAUCCAUAUUUUUAAAUACUUAAGCUAUUUACUCACAAUUUAACAAAUUUUGCACUAUUUUCAAUUUAGUCCUUUUUAAUUAAUUAGCCAUCCAAACGUUAAAAUUUUCUAACGAAACUUUAAUACUAACUCAAUGACACUCCAUAAAUAUUUAUAAAAAUAUUUAUAGCUCAAUUUUCAACUUUGAGGUCUCGAUACUUCAUUUUUGACCCGUUUGACCUAAUAAAUUCUUUUAAUUCACUAAUUUCACCAUUUCACAAAUUCUUCUAAAUUCUUACUUGACUCAUAAAUAUUAAAUUACUAUCUUGUUCAAUCUUAUUUGUCGAAUUUAGUGAUCUCAAAUCACCAUUUCCGACACCACUGAAAAUUAGGCCGUUACAAGAAAUCAACUCUCUCAGCAUCAUCAUCAACGGUAGCCCAGAACUCCUCAGCCCCAUGUUUCUGAAUCUUAUCAAUAGGUGAUUUAUUUAAUCGCCAAAGAUCAAUACCUUGAGGAACUACAGGGGUUUGUUGAGGAACAAGUGGGGGUGAAGGUUGUUGAGCAGCAGAAUUCAUUCGACCGAACUCCGUGAACCACUUACUCAUCAUCUGGAAGAAGGCUUGCUUGGCCUCUCCCCCUUGACUAAUUGAAAUCGACCUAGAAUCGGCCAGCGUUUCCCCUUGAGCGGGAGCGGGCGCAUUACUUUCCACAUCGUCAGCUAAAACUCGAUUUGGAUCCAUUUACUAUAUGAAAACACACUUUAAGCUGUCAGGAAUCAUCACACUAUCACAGUUUAUAUAUAUGGCAUGUAUAACUAGACUCUCACUCGCUACAUUAGUCUUAGAAUCGACUAAACCGUAGCUUUGAUACCAAUAAGUGUAACACCCCUAACCCAUAUCCGUCGCCAGAAUAGGGUUACGAGGCAUUACCAGACAAUACACAUCAUUCACAUACAUUUAUACAUUCAUAAUCAAAAUCCAUUCAACUCAUUCACAUUCUCCCUUACAAAGCCCUAUGAGACCUUAAAACAUGUUUAAAAGAAGUUUAGGAUAAAACCGUUCAUAUUUGAAAACUUUGGGAAACUUAGAAAAUUUUCAUGCAUUCAGGGGUCACACGCUCGUGUGAACAGGCCGUGUGCCUCACACGGCUACCAGACACACCCGUGUCACAGGCCGUGUGAAAACAGGGCAUAUAUUCUGACUUGCACCACAUAGCCAGAGACACGCCUGUGUACCAUGGCCGUGGGAAAACUAGAGGGGUUACUGACUUGGGUCAUACGGCCGGCCACACGCCCAUGUAUUAGCCCGUGUGUCACACAUGGCAAGUAGACACGCCCGUGUAUCUAGGCCGUGCCAAACUUGUAGGGUAUACUGACUUAAUUCGAAGGGCUACCCUAGGGGACACACGGUCGUGUAGCGUGACCGUGUGUCGCACAUGGCUGAGGUACAUGCAUGUGUCUCUGCCCGUGUGGACAAAAAUAGACCAUUUGCCAAGCCAAUUUGCCACCCUUUCCUCAUGCACGCCUAGCAACCAAUAUGGUACCAUUUCAAUACAUUUAUAGGCAGCCAAAACAUGCCAAUUAGUAUACAAUCCAUGCUAUUUUAUCUUCAACCAUUUCGCUACUCAAUUCAUAACCAAAACAUAUCACAUUAAUAUGUCAUAAUCAACAUUUUUUCACCUAACUUCCAAAUGCAUAAUCUUAUCAUCUUUUCAUCUAUUUCAUACUUUAAACAUACCAUUUCAUCAUCAUACCAUUUCAUCAUCAUACCAUUUCAUCAUCAACAAACCAAUCCACAACAUGUCAUUUUCCAAACAAUAAUAUACCAAUUGACAACUAGCUUAUUCAAACUUAUAACCAUCACAACAACCGUACAAAACAUGUCAAAACUCAAAGCAAUAAAUUCAUCAUUUAUCACUUACCAAACUCGUAAAUUAAGUCAACUUAAAUGGCCAAAUGCACACCAACAUUUACAUCAAAAGCAAGCCAAAUCUCAUGGCUAUAUCAUAUCUCAAAACAUAUCAUCAACUUACUAGCCUAUACAUGCCAUAUACCAUAUUUACAAAGCAUCCAAAAAUACCAACAAGUUGAUCGAUAGUGUGAUAACGAUUCCUGAUGAUCCCCGAUGUCCGAGCUAGCUUCGAUUAUCUAUAAAACAGUGAAAAAUAAACACGGUAAGCUUUAAAAGCUUAGUAAGCCAUAUGCAAAUGAAGUCAUCAUAUGAAUAUUUGCAUAUCAACUCAAAUAUGCUAAGCAUAGCUAAACACAUACAAGGUCACAAACCUUUCUCAUUGUACACAUAUACAAUAUCAUAAUUGAAUUCAUUAAAUACUUCCCUUUUCAAUAUUCGUAUGAAUCUUGUACGUAUCUGAAUCACAUAGCUCAUUCACACAUUCUUUCUCGACUUGAAUUUUCCAGUUAAAUCGUUCGGAAUCGUUAAGGAUACUCAGCAAUCACAUAUAGCUUGUACAAUUCCAUAUCCUAGAUAUUGUCUUACAUGUUAUCACAUAUUGAUGCCUUUGUCCCAGACAGGGUCUUACACGAAAUCGAUUAACAAUGCCAAUGUCCCAGACAUGGUCUUACAUGUAAUCACAAUACAAUGCCAAUGCCCCAGACAUGGUCUUACAGGUAAUCAUUUCUCGAUAACCUAAUGUCAUGAUAUUUGUAUCCUAUACUAUUCCUAAGGUUCGUACGGGAUUUUCAGAUAUUGUAACUUCGUCGAUUCUUGCUCGUAUUUACUCGAUCAACAUCCAUAGUAAUUAAAUGACAAAUAAACAUAUAUAAAUCAUUUUAAAUAUAUUUAUUUUCGUAUGAGCUUACCUCGUAGUCGGAAUAGAGGAACUGGAUCGACUAUCGAUAACCUUCGAUUUUCCCCGAUCUAAAUCUGAUUUCUUUCUUUCUUGAUCUAUAUACAUUCAAAAUUAACUCUUUUAUUCAUCAACACAUUAAAUUUAGUCCACAAACACAUAUUUUGGCAUUUUUACACUUUAGCCCCUAAAGUUUCAUAUUUUUACAAUUUAGUCCCUAUUUCACAAAUACACAAAAUUCACACAAUUUAACAAGACCCAUGCUUGUCCGAAUUACCAUGGUGCCCUUAGCAGCCCAAAAAUUUCAUUUAUUUUACAUUUUAACCUCUCAAUUUACAAAUUUCACAAUUUAAUCCUAAUUAAGCAUUUUCAUCAAAAAAUCCCUUUACCAAACAUGUAAAACUAUCAACAAAUAUUCAUUUUUCAUCAUCAAACUAUCAAAAGCUCAAGCAUUCAUCAAUGGAACUUCACAAAAUCAUCAACACUUUCAAAAAUUAAAGCAUGGGCUAAAUAAAACACGAAGCAACGAUCUCAAAAACAUAGAAAUCAUCAAAAACCGAGCAAAAAUCACAUACCUAAUAAGCUAUCAAAAUGCCAAAUUUAAACAAGCUUCAUGCCCUAGUUUUUCUUCUCCAAUUUUGGUUGUAAAUAAAGAUGAAUGAAUCUAUUUUAACUUUUGCUUUUAUUUAAUUUAACUUAAUUUAAAAUGACUUAAUUACCCUUAAUGAUUAAACAUUAAAAUUCCACUAACUAUAGGCAUAAUUUUCCAUCCAUUAUUCAAAUGGUUUAAUAACAUCAUAAGGACUUCAUAUUUAAUAAACCAUAGCUAAUAAACACUUUUAACUUAUAGCAUGCCACUUUUGCAUUUUACGCGAUUAAGUCCUUUCGUCAAAUUAAGCACUCAAACGCUAAAAUUAUUUCACAAAAUUUUCACACAUAUAUAUUCACAUGCUAUAAACACCAAAAAUAAUAUUAAAAUAAUUUUAUGACGUCGGAUUUAGCGGUUCCAAAACUACUAUUCUGAUUUAGCUAAAACGGGGCUGUUACAAAAUGUCACCACAAACUGAUCCAAGUAAGGUUGAAAAAUGUGAUACAUGAGAUCCAUAAAUGUUGCAGGUGCAUUCGUUAAACCGAAAGGUUUUACCAAAAAUUCGUAGUGGCUAUAACGCGUGCGAAACGUCGUUUUCAGUACAUCACUAUCUUUUACUUUCAACUGAUAGUAAUUGGAUCGCAAAUCAAACUUAGAAAAUAUCGAAACUCUUUUCAACUGGUCAAAUAAAUCAUAGAUACGAGAUAGGGGUAUCGAUUUUUAAUCGUCAACUUGUUCAACUGCUGAUAAUCUAUAUAGAGCCACAUCAAACUAUCUUUCUUUUUAACAAACAAUACUGGAGCGUAUAAUGCCGUGGUACAGUAAAUCUUGCAAUUGAAUUUUCAAUUCCAUUAGCUAAGUCGGUGCCAUAUGUUAAGGGGAUAUUGAUACUAGAGUUGUACCAGGAAACACUUCAAUUGCGAAUUCAACCUCUCAAUGAGGUGGUAAUCCUGGUAAUUCCUCGGGAAACACAUUAAGAAAUUCACAAACUGUUCGACUAUUGCCAAUCUGAAUAUAUCCAUUAUUUGAGUUAAUAACAUAAGCUAGAAAAGUUUUGCAACCUUACCUCAACAGCUUACUAGCUUGAACCGACAAGAUAAUAUGAAUUGAACUACCCAUUCUAAUGCCAUUAACUUUCACAAUUUCUCAAUUCGGGCCCUAAACUGAAAAAUUUUUCUUCCUACAAUCUAGAAUCACUCCAUGCUCGGUUCGCCAAUCCAUGCCCAAGAUCAAAUCAAAAUAUCCAAAAGGCAUGAUCAACAAAUCUACUAAAAACAUCAAACUUUGAAUUUCUAACUGACAUAUUUUACAUACUUGACUAGCUAACAUCGUUUGACCCAAUGGACUUGAUACAUAUAUGGCUACUUUUGACGUCUCAGGUUUUAGACUCCCAGAUUUAACAAAAUCAGCAUUAAUAUAUGAGUGAGAGGAACCAGGAUCUAUUAGGGAAUAAACAUGAGAAGAAAAUAAUAAGAAAAUACAUGCUACAACAUCAAUAGCAUUGCCUCCCUCGCGAGUCCACACAAUAUAUGCUUAAGUCGACGCUCUGGCCUCUGACUAAUGCGCAACUACUUCAUUCCCUUUCCUUGGACCACCCCUAAAGAUGGAAUCACCACGAUUAGCCCCACGACCCCUAAAUUAAGGUGUAGAUAUCUGAGUGUCAGCUGGUGCAAUAUUAUUAUUUUUCGGGCACUCACUGGCGAAAUGUUCAUACGAUCAUCGAAAACAAGCAUUAGAUAACUUCCAGCAUUUUCCCUAAUGGUUCUUCUUACAAUGCUCGCAACUCGCCACAUCCAAAACUUUGGUUGGGCCUUUUACACUACCAACUAAAACUUUUGGGUGUCGAUCUCACACUCUAUUUGAUGUAGUUGAUUUUGCAGUUGUCCUCCCAUACUCACGAGAUUCUUUAAUUCGCUUGGGCACUGAAUUUGAAUUGGGGGUCCGAAAUCAUUUUCCAGAAACACAAGGAAGCUUUGGUUUCUUUCUAAACGCCAAAGAUUGUUCUACCAUUUUUGCACGCUCGGAUAAAUCAAGAAAUUCAUUUACUUUCAAUAUGACUAAUUGAGUUCCAACCUCAUCUCGCAUCCCUUGUAGGAAGCAUUUACAACUCGCUUCUUCAAUUAGAAUAAACUUUAUAGCAUAUUUGCUAAGUGGCAUAUACUCUUGUUCAUAAUCCACUAUAGAUAGAUCUCCCUGUUUUAACAAAAGGAAUUAUUGUUUCCAAUCCUCCAAAUAUAGUUCCCCACAUAUUUCUUUUGGAACUCUGAUUAAAAAAAAUUCAAAUCAAUAGCUUCAGCAGGGAUGUGACAAGUAAUAGUUUGCCACCAAGUAUAAGCUUCCUCCUAUAACAAAGAAAAGACACAGAUAACACUUUCACGAGAAGUACACUCCAGCUAUUAAAGUACUCGAGUUGUAGAUUCUAGCCAUAUAUCAGCUGCUAAUGGGGCAACCUCUUUCAUCCCAGUGAAUUCAGUCACGCCAUACCUCCUCAAUUCUUUAAUCGGUGCCCGUCUUUCUACAGACGUAGGUAUUACUGCAGGAGUAGUUCCUGCCACUCUUUGAAGUGCUUCAGCUAUAGUCCAAAGUAAGCUCACAUCGCCUUGUCCCUCAUUAAUACCUCUAUCAACAUUGGGUUGUUGUGCACUACAUGAGUGAACAUGCGGUGCCACUGAUUCAGCCCUAUUUAAUCAACAUCCAAAUCUCGACUCAAACUCGACUUCACUUGGCAUGUACUUAUAGACUCGAUUUUUAUCUUGAUUUAGUCUGAGAAUCGGCUAAACCUAUAGCUCUAAUACCAAUAAAUGAAACACUACUUACCCAGCUCGAUCGUCGGACCCGAGUAAUAAGAUGAUACGAAAAAAUUUAACAAUCGUUAUAUAUAUACACUUUACAAAAAAAAAUUCAAUUCUUAAUCAUCAAAUCACAUACAAUCAACACAUAUUGAAAAUUUAAAAUCUGCAUGGACCUAAUGAGAUAUUUAAGCAUUAAAAAGGAUUGAAAUGAAAAUUUUCAAAGUUAAAAGGUUAAAAUUGAAAAUCCAUAGCUGGUAUCAAUACCAAAUCGAUACCAAAAUUUAAUUUUUUUUCGUAUCGAUAUUUUAUCAAAAUGUGUCAAUACUCAAAUAAAAAUCGAUACCAUUUUGGCAUUUUAUUUUUAAAAUUGUUCAUUUAAAAAUAGAACGUCAGUAAUGACAAUAUAUCACAAAUAAAAAAGAAAUAAAAAAUAAAGAACACACAAAUUUUUACGUUGAAACCCUUUCGAAAAAAAAUACGGGCAGAGGAAAAGAAAAUUCACUAUGUCGAAUUCGAAUGAUUAUAAUAGGUGUUUCGACUACAUCUAUUUAUAGGUCGAAAAAACCUAAUUCUAAUUAUAGUCAAAUAUACUGUGCUAAUAAAUAUUAAAUAUAUUAUACUCAUAAAUAAUAAAUAUUAAAUAAAUAAUAAAUCUUCUAGAAAGGAGAUAUAUUUUGUUUAACUUGACUUGCAAACAAUUUCCACCUUGACAUGAAUUCUCAACGUACAAGUUUUUCACCUAUUCCAUAAAACCCCUUAAGAUUUUAAGUUCAACAAUGAACACUAACCAAGUCUAAACAAUGCUCAAACUUGGUUAUAGGAAGUGACUUAGUCAUCAUAUCUGCAGGAUUUUCAUGAGUACUAAUUUUGCUCACAACAAUAUCACCACGAGCAAUAAUAUCACGAACAAAAUGAUAUCGAACAUUAAUGUGUUUUGUUCUCUCAUGAAACAUUUGAUCUUUUGUAAGGAAGAUGACACUCGAAUUAUCACAAAAUAUAGUACUAAUUUGAAGGUCUUCAUUGAGUUCACUAAAUAGUCCCUUCAACCAAAUAGCUUCUUUACAAGCCUCAGUAAUCGCCAUGUACUCAGCUUUAGUGGUAGACAAAACGACUGUAGUUUGCAAAGUGGCUUUCCAACUGAUUGCACAACCUCUAAUUGUAAAGACAUAACCUCUGAGAGAUCUUUUUCUAUCAAGUUCUCCAGUAAAAUCAGCAUCAACAUACCUAAUGACUCCAUCUCUAGUUCUUUCAAACUGUAAGCAAACAUCAGUAGCACCUCGUAAGUAUCUUAAAAUCCAUUGAACUACUUUCUAAUGUUCUUUACCAGGAUUCGCCAUGUAUCUGCUAAUUGCACUGACUGCAUAUGAUAAAUCUAGACGUGAACAAACCAUAGCAUACACGAGAGAUCCCACUACACUAGAGUAUGAAACAUGUGACAUUAAUCAAUCUCAUCAUCUGGUUGUGGAGACAAAGCCGAUGAAAGCUUGAAAUGGGUUGCUAAAGGAGUACUAACAGGCUUAGCACUCUGCAUAUUGAACAUGCAACGAACUUUCUCAGUGUACCACUUCUGAAUUAGGUACAAUUUACUUGCUUUUCUAUCUCUGAGAAUCUCCAUAAUAAGUAUCUUCUUUGCUGGUCCUAAAUUUUUCAUCUCAAAUUCUUCACUUAGUUGGGCUUUGACCUUUCUUAUCUCUCAUUUAUCUUUUGAUGCUAUCAACAUGUCAUCAACAUAAAGGAGUAGAUACACAAAAGAACUAUCAUUGUUUUUCUUAAAGUAAACACAAUUGUCAAAACUACUUCUUUUGAAAUCAUGAGAAGUCAUAAAGGAAUCAAACCUCUUGUACCACUGUCUUGGUGACUGUUUCAAACCGUAAAAGGACUUUUUUAGUAAGCAAACAUAGUCAUCUUUUUCUGAGACUGUAAAAUCCUCUAGUUGUUGCAUGUAAAUAUCCUUCUCAAGUUCUCCAUGUAAAAAUGUAGUUUUUACAUCUAACUGCUCAAGCUCUAAAUCAUGCAUGGCCACAAUACCAAGCAAAGCUCGAAUCGAUCUAUGCUUUACUACUGGGGAGAACACAUCUGUGAAGUCCAAUUUUGGAAUUUGACUGUAAACCUUUGCAACAAGCUUUACUUUAUAUCUGGGUUGUUCAACUCCGGGAGUCCCUUCUUUUUUUUUAAACACCCCUUUACAACGAACAGCCUUUUUACCUUAGGAAGUUUCACAAGAUCCCAUAUUCUAUUUUCGUGUAGUGAUUCCAUCUACUCUUGCAUAGCAAUCAUCUACUUUUCUGAGUCUUCACAACUAACUGCCUCAAAAUAAUUAGAUGGCUCUUGGUUUGAAUAUAUAUCUUCAGCCACAUUUAAAGCAUAAGCAACUAGAUCAGCCUCAACAUACUUCUUUGGAGGUUUAAUUUCUCUUCUAGUUAUGUUUUUGGCGAUAGAGUAUUGUGGUAAAGAAGCGACUAUAUUCUGAAUUUUUGUACUGGCUUGAGGGGUUUACUUUGUUGUAGAUUCUGGAUUAAUCUGAUGCUCUACCUACUUUUGAUUUUCUUUAUUGGAAGAGUCUUUAAGAGAUAAGUUAGGUAGCAUAGCAGUUUCAUCAAAAACAACAUCUCUGCUAAUCAUAACUUUUCUAUUUUCAGGACACCAUAACUUAUACCUUUUUACACCAACUUUAUAACCAAGAAAAACACAUUUAAUGGAUCUAGGUUCCAAUUUUCCAUUAUCAACAUAAGCAUACGUAGGACACCCAAAGAUUUUUAAAUCAGAAUAGUUAGCACGAUUACCAGACCAUACCUCUUGUGGAGUCUUUUUCUCAAUGGCAACGGAUGGAGAUCGGUUGAUUAAAAAGUAUGCAGUAGAGGUUGCUUCGGCCCAAAACGACUUUGGUAAGUUGGCAUUUGACAACAUACAUCGAACCUUCUCCAUGAUCAUUCUGUUCAUUCGUUCUAUAACGCCGUUUUGCUUUGGAGUAUGACAAACUGAAAGUGUCUUACGAUCCCUUCUAACAUGCACAGUUUAUUAAAGUCAUCAAAAUAGAACUCUAAGCCAUAGUCUGUGCGGAGGUAUUUUAUUUGUCUUCUCAUAUAUUUUUCAAUCAUAGUUUUCCAAGACUAAGAUAUGAAAAACACAUCGCUUUUCUGCUUCAAGAAGAACACCCAAACUUUUCUAUAAAUUUAUCAAUAAAAGUUAACAUAUAAUUAGCUCCACCUCUCGAAGGCACUCUGGAUGGCCCCCACAGAUCGGAAUGAAUAUACUCCAAUGUUCCCUUCGUGUUAUGGAUUCCUUUAGUGAAUCGAACUCUCUUUUGCUUCCCAAAAAUGUAGUUGUCACAGAACUUUAGUUUGUAGAUUCCUUGCCCAUUAAGAAGUCCUCUUUUGCUCAAUUCUGCCAUGCUAUUCACACUCAUAUGCCCUAGGCGCAUAUAUCAAUUUUAGUAAUAUCAUCAUCUGACAAGAAAGAGGAAGCGACAACUGUAUCACCACUAACAGUAGAACCCUGCAAAACAUAUAACUUGGCAGUCUUUCUCCGCCCUUUCAUCACAACGAAGUAACCUUUGGAAAUAUUCAAAACCCCACUUUCAGCUGUGUAUCUGUACCCUUUUGAAUCAAAAGUACUCAACAAAAUUAAAUUUCUCUUCAAUUCUGGAACAUGUCGCACGUCACUAAGUGUUCUGACAACUCUGUCAAACAUCUUAACUUUAAUCGUUCCAACACUUGCAAUUUUACACAAAUAACACCUUCUGACACUGUUUCAUAAGUUGUAAACUAAUCCCGAUUUGGACUCAUGUAGAAGGUGCAGCUUGAAUAAAGGAUUCACACCUUGCUCACUUUAGAAAUGUUGACAGAAGUGACUAAAAGUUCAUCAUCGCUGUAGUCUUCUACAACAUCAGCUUCACCAGAAUUUUCUGGUUGUUUUCUCUUUUGAUUCGCACCCUCUCUUUUGAUCUUGUUCUGUAGCUUAUAGUAUUCAGAUUUAAUAUGCCCUUUCGUCUUGCAGAAGUUACAAGUUUUACCUCUGUUUGAAGACUUCGAUCUACACUUAGAUUUAUCACAAGGAUUUUGUUCCUAUGUCCUUCUAUGAUCAUCAUCAGCAUUCUGUUUUUGUCUCCCACGAAUAAUGAGACUCUCUCCCUUAAAGUCGAGUUUAACCACAGGAUGCUUCAUCUUAUCAUAUGAGGUCAAAUAAUCAUAAACCUCAUCAAUUAUGAGAAACUCACGGCUAUAUGAAAUUGUGUCUCUGAAGGUUAAAUAAGACGGGGGCAACGAACAAAGUAGAAUCAACCCUAGAUCUUCCUUAUCAUACUGAACCUCUAUGGCCUCCAAGUUUGAGAGAAUUUCUUUAAACACUGUCAAGUGUUUGUGCACAGACGCACCUUCCUCCAAACGAUGAGCAUGAAGACGUUGCUUCAUAUGCAACUUGAUGGUUAGAGUUUUCGACAUACAUAUUUGUUUUAGCCUCUUCCAUAAUGCAGCGAGAGCCUUCUCCUUCAUCACAUCCUACGAAAUUUCGUUAGAUAAAUACAAAUGUAAUUGUGUUCACGCCUUUCGAUCCUUACGCUUCUUCUCUUUAUCUGUUAAUGUCAAAGGCAUCUUAUCUAUCCCUAGUAGGGCAUCCCCCAGAUCCAUCUGCGCAAGAACAGCUUGCAUCUUAAUCUGCCACAACACAAAUCUAGUGUUGCGAUCCAACAGUAAAAUUUCAUACUUCAAAGAUGCCAUUACUAUGAUCGAGAUGAACAGCCCAGAAGUUGUGAUACCAGUUUGUAAAAAUAGAAUGUCAGUAAUGACAAUAUAUCGCAAAGAAAAGAGCAAUGAAAAAAAUAAAGAACACACAGAUUUUUACGUGGAAACCCUUUCGGGGAAAAAUCAAGGGCAGAGGAGAAGAAAAUUCACUAUGUCGAAUUUGAAUGAUUACAAGAAGAGUUUCAACUACAUCUAUUUAUAGGUUGAAAAACCUAAUUCUAAUAAUAGUCAAAUAUAUUAUCCUAAUAACUGUUAAAUAUAUUAUACUCAUAAAUACUAAAUCUUCUAGAAAGAAGAUAUAUUUCGCUUAUUAUAGCUGAGUGUUCUGCUAUUAAGGGGUUCAUUCGUUUUGAUUUUUAGGUUCGUUUGUUGUAGGACUUGUUAAAUCAAUCAUUUAGGUUGGUAAUUUUCCAAUUACUAAUUCAUACUAUUCGUCAAUCUAGGUAUUAAAAUAUUCAAUUUUGAGCAUGCAUCAAUUUUUUGACCAAUGUGUGUAACGAAAACCAGAGAAACAGCAAAUGGUGAAAGUAAAAAAUCUGAACUGUCGACGCCACACAACUGUAUGAUAGGCCAUAUGACGGACCGUUUAACAGGCCAUGUGCUAGACCUUGUGAUACACACGGUCUAGGCUAAUUGGGUCGUGUGGGCUACACGGGCAUGUGGUAGACCGUGUGGGCCACACAGGUUUAACUUAACUUGCAAGCAAUCUCUUAGAAUUUGGGUCACACAACUCUAACAGUUCAUAUGGUCAGGUAUUGAUACCAGAUGCCAAAGUAUUGAUACCUAAAAGCAAAAUGUAAAAUCUCAUCUUUAGAAAGUUCAAUUCUUACCAAAUUCACAUAUCAAGCAAAAACUAUAAUCUCAUCCAAUCAAACACUUAAAUGUCAACCAAAUAUGCCUCAAAUGGCACCUCAAUAAUCAAACUAAUCAUGAACACAUACAACAUUCCAUAAUUGAUUUUCAUUUUAUCUAACUCAUGAUCUUGGGAUUCCAAAAAUUGAACGACAAAGAUUUAACUAAAUGACUGAAACUUCUUAUUCUUUUCUUCUCCAAUUCGACAUGCAAAUGGCUAAAGGAGCAAGAAAUGUUUUGUUUCUCUUUCUCUCCACUUUACUAUUUCUUUUCAUUUUAUUCUUCCUUUAAUUUUAACAUAAUCUAUUAACUUAAAUAUUAUAAUACACCUAACAUAUAAUACAUACAAUACUAAUCAUAACAGUCCACUAUCAACAACAUACAUAAUGACCUAUUUAUUUAAUAAGUCCCUUCAUCUAGUUCAACAUUGUAAGUUAAUACUAAUUCCUACUUUUAUCACUUACUUGAUUUAGUCUCUGUACUUAAAUUAAACCCCAAUUCCACAAAACUACCUAACCAAAUUUCAAUUUAGGUUUAGGAUAACUCUGUAAAUAUUUAAUAAAAAUAUUUAUGAGUCUAGUUUACAGAAAUGGGGUCUCAAAAUCACACUUUCUAACACCACUGACUUUUGGGUUGUUACAUGGAUAGCUAGUCGGACUUGUCACACCCAAAACCCGGCCUAAGAGUUUAGACUAAAUCCCUAAUGUCACAUUGAUCACCAAAGUGAUCAUAGGUAAAUUUUUAUGAACAAGUUAUUACGUUGAACCGGAAUAUUUAAUCGUCUAAUUUCAUUCAGCAAAAAUUACAGAUAAGUUUAUUAUAAAACCGGAAAUAAAUGAACUUAUAAAGGAAAAACGGAACUUGUUCCACAAUUUUAUAAAACCUUACAAUUCAAAAACUUAAUAACAAAACAUAAACUAAAAAUACGACUUGUAUUAUAUUAUUCUCCAAGACUGUCCGAGAUCUUCAUAUACCGAGUCCAGCAAUAAAAUUCUAAAAUAUACCUGAAAGGGAAAUAGAUGGAGGUGAGCUACACAAGCUCAGUGUGAGUUCAAAACCAAUCUAACUACAGAAACAUAAAAUAGGAUGCCGGAUAGUAGUUCAAUAAAGAAAUGUACUCACAAAAACAUACAAAUCCAGAAGGUAAUCGGAAACCAACAUCUCAAAACUUAAUGACAAUUCGAGCACACUAGGUCACACUCACAAGCACACUGUCACAUUUGCUAAUCCAUCAAACAGAAAUAGUCAGAGAAUCUCACACGCAGAACACUCAAACAGAUGCAUAUGUAUGCAGUCUGAUAUUAAAAGAACUUUCCCAUCCAGCCAAACACACCUCUCCGUCCCCCGAUCACACCUUGUAAGAGUUGUUUGGGCUCAUCCAACCAAACACACCACAUAGGACCAAAUAGGCCCAUCUAACCUUACACACCAUAUAAAGUCAUCCCGGGUUGCCCGGCAACAAUGACUCGCCGUCCUGGAUUGCCCGGCAACGAUGGCUUAUCAAAAUACAGUUGAACUGCCAAAUCAAAUAUAUAUACGUAAUAUAGCCAACGUACAUGUGGUACAGUUUAAUGUGAAAAAUCGUUAUACCGAUAAUUUACAAUUAAACUGCCAGAUCAGAUAAUGGUACGUAGCAUAGCUAACGUACAUACGGUACAAUUCGAUGCGGUAAACCGCUAUACCGGUAUAUUGCAGUUUAACUGCCAGAUCAGAUAAAUAUACGCAGCAAGCCUAACGUAUGUGUUACAAUGCAGUGCGGUAAUUCGCAGUAUAGAAAAAUUACAGUUUGAACUGCCAGAUCAGAUCAGAAUCAGACUCCCUUCUCUUCAAAACCUAUCCCAAAAUAUUUUAUACAGGUGCAUGUAUGCAUACAAUCUCAUAGAAAAGAGGCACAAUAUCAGACAAUCAGUCAGAACAGCUAUGCACACAAACCCAACAGAAUAGAUUCAGAUUCAAACAUCUUACAUGACAGUCACAGAUACACUCAGGCUAAAGCCUAGAUCAGAAUUCUUAACCACCCUGACUAAAGAUCAGCCAAGGUAGACACACAGAAAAAUGCUUGUAUCAAAGACACACAGAAUCAAAAUAAGUGACUUAAAACCACACGCCUGUGUGCUCUGGAUGUAUGGGAAUGCCUAGGUCGUGUGGGAGGUCAAAAGCCCAUUGAAAAAGGGGCACACAACCGUGUGGAUCGGAGACAUGGCUGUGGGGACAGGCUGUGUAACUCUCUGUCUAUUUGCACUAAAUUUGAGUACAUGACUGACACGGCCGUGUGAAGGUCUUAACACUCGUGUGCCCUCUAGACAUGGCCAUGUGCUUGAAACACACGCCCAUGUGGAAUCCCUAAAUCCAAACACGAUCGUGUGGCACCAAAUCGCUCAAUCCCUCAUUCCCAAUCACAAACACCCCUGUGCCCGAGGGACACGGCCGUGUGAAUAUUAAGAAAAUCCCCAAAUCGGCUACAUGGCCAUAUGGCCAGCCGUGUGACGCCCAAAUCAGCUCGAAAACCCUAAUUCCCAAAAGUACACGACCGUGUGUGUAUCAAUACACGCCCGUGUAGCCAUUUGUGUGGUCACAAAACCACCUUAAAAAUAGCCUCGAAAAAUAUGCUCCUAGCAACGAAACACUUUUCAGCCCUCAGUAGUUCAAAUAUACACCAAACCGCAUAUAUUCUAAGCAUAAAACAGCAACACAACAUCGAAAACAACCGAUUUGCAAAGCCUCACACACUUGUGUCAACUUUUCGUAAAGUCAAAAAAAGAUUCACAAAUAAAAUAGAAGAAGGUUUGAAACCCAUACCUAUUUCGUGAUCGAACACGUCCUGAUGCCGAUUUGAUGACCAAAAAAUCUAAGCUCUUCGAAACCACAACACCACCGUUUCAGAAAAGAAAACGUAAAACCAAAAGAGAGAGUAAGAAGAUAACGUGAAAAAAAAAGUCAAAAUAAAAUAAAAUAAAACAAGACAAAAUAAAUAACACUAAAUAAUUAUUACUAACUAAAAACAAAAAAAAAUAAAAGGAUUCUCCCCAAAUGCACACCCAAAGAUUCAAACCCAGAACCUUGGAAUUCUUUACACACAACCAAACCACUAGACCAGCAAGCCUAUUCUGCCACUUAAAUGUCUCACUAAACACAAUAGCGCAGCCUCUUAACUGACCCUAACCGCAAAACUCCAAAACUUCUAACCCCAAAAAUUCGGGGUGUUACAGGACUGGACUUGAACAAGGAUUUUCACACAUCGGGCCACCUUUGCCCGGCCCGAAUUCAAUUCAAAUAAUUUUUAAAAAAAAUUAAAUUUAAUUAUAAAAUCAUAUAAAAUAUAAAUUAAAAUUAUAUUUUUUAGUAUUUUAUUAUUUUUUAUAUAGUAAAAUGGAUUUUUUGAACGGGAUGAUCCGGCUUGAAAAUAGGCCUAGACUUGAAAUUUUUGUUGGAACCAAGCCUUGGCUCAACUUAGCCCAUGGACACCUUUAAUUCAGUCUAAGCUUACUUAUUUUAAAAUAUAAUUUUUAUUUUUUAAAAAUUUUGAAUGUUGAAUUUUUUAUUGUGAUCUAAUUAACCAACACACAAACGCACCUACCAAAACUUACCAGUAACGCACGAAGAGCACCGAAAUAGCUAAAUACAGAACUUUAGCAUCAAGAUAACAGGAAUAAAAAAAAUGGCGACAUAAAAAUGAAAGAGAAAUCGGCAGAGAGCAGGAAGAAGAAAAAUUCAAGUCAGAACUUUGGAAAUUUUGGAGGAGAGAUGAAAUUUUGAAAAAAAAAAGAAGAAGAAAAUAGUUUUAAAAAUUAGAUAAUAUUAGAAUCCCCCAAUUUCCUCCCCACUAACCCCUCAAACUCAAUCGCUACAGACUUUUAAUUUCACCAAAACUCUUAUUAUGCUCACACUAGGAUUCAAGCACCAAACCUCCAUUUCACUAACCCUUUACCCCUUGAACCAGCAAGUUCAUUCUAUUAUAAAAUUACAGGCAAUUAAAUAUGAGCCUACUGAACAAAGAUAGGGCUUAGAUCCAAAAAUGUCAAGAAUUGCCAAAGAUAAGACUUGAACUUGAGACCUCUCACUCACACCCAAAACACUCAACUAGUGAAACAGAUACAAACUUGUGUUAGAUUCUACAGAAGUAAAAAUAAAUUAUUUGGGGUGUUACAUUGUUAAUAUUUUAAACAUAAUCAUAAGUUUAAGGACCUAUCUAAAAUUAGACCAAUAAAAUUUAAAAUAUAAAUAUGAUAUUGUUUCUUGGAUUUAUAGAAUAAUGGAUUGUUAUAUACAUAGUAUGAGAUGAUCUAUUGAUUCUAUAUUCUUACCGUUGAAUUUAUGAAUUUUUUUUCUUAUUUCUUUUGAGUUUGAUUAAUGAUGUACUGUAUUUAUAUGUUUAUCGAAGAAUAUUUUAUAUUUAAAAUUUAUUUAAUCUCAUUAGUUGAUACUUGUCUUUUUUGUUCUUCACGGAAAGUUGUUAUAAUUAUAAGUUCAGUAAAUAAUAAUGAAAUAUAAAUUUUAAUUAUAUCUAGUACUCAAUAAGAAGAUGGAGAAAGUUAUGUUAAUUAUAGUUAUAAAUUAUUUAUAAAUUUAAUAUAUAUAUAUAAAGAAAAUAGUUGUAUAACUAAUAAUUAUUUUUACAAUACUUUAUAUAGUUAUAUUUAAAAAAAUAUUUUUAAAAUUAAAAUACUAUUAUUUUGUUCAAUAUAUUAAUAUUUAUAUUAUUUAAUUUAUUAUUGAAUAUGAAUAAAUUUUUUUUGAAAAUUAUAUUUUUAAUUUUUAGAAAUUUUAUAUAACUUUCCAUAUAUAUAUAUUUCUGAUUUGUCAAUUUCUUUUGAGAUUUAUCUAAAUUGAUUUGAAUUUUUUUUAUUUUAAAAAAUAAAAUAAUUUUAAAAUUUCUUGGAAUUUUAUAUAAAUUUUUGGAUUUUUCAAAAAAAAAUUGAGAUUUUUUUCUUUUUUUUCGAUUUUUUAAAUUUAUUUCAGGAAAAUAUAAACUAACUUUUCUUUGCUUUGGGUAUAAUUAAUAUUAGAUAACCCACAAAUUAGAUCAAUAGGAGCUUCAUGUCCUAAUCCCAUUUAAUUACUUUUGUUGUAUCAUUAAUUUAGUCGACCUUACAUAGUAGCUCUAUGGGGCAAAUAGUUAUAAAUGUUAAAUUAGUAUUUAAAUCUUGAAGUUUUUAAUUUAAAGUUCAGACUAUUAGUAUUAUAUCAAAUAUUUAAGGGUAAAUAUAUAUUCUAAUAUCUAAGCUUGGGUCAAGGUUUAAAUUAAGUACUUAAACUUGGUUUUAUAGUUCAAAUUGAUUUAAAUAACUAAGUAUUAAUUUGAAUUAAGAAGCAAAGUUCAAGUACCUAAUUAGACUAUAAAAAAAACUUUUGCUAGUAAAUUGAACCUUAAAGUCGAGUUUAGUUAUCUAAUUGGACAAAAAAAUCUUAAAUACCAAUUUAAACCCUAAAGUCAAGUUUAGGUACCAAAGUGUAUAUUUAUCUAAUAUUUAAAUUUGAUCCACCUAAUUUAAAUUUUUUUGGUCCAAUGCAAUAAGAGAAUUAAUUAAUACUUACACACAUGAUAGAGAUAAACCCACAACAGAUACACACUACAAAAAACAUUAAAAAAUAGAAAGAUAUAUUUCCUACAAAAUUUAAAAGCAUUUAAUUUUUUAACUAACAUUAGACAAAUGGAAAUGGAAAGACUUAUUUUUAAGUUUAUGGAUGAAUCUAAUUUAUCUAAACAUUGGGUUUUUUUUUUUUUGUGACGAAAUAUGGGUGAGAGAAGGUAGUAAGCUAAGUAGGGGAGUAAUAUCUCAAACAAAUAAUUAAAAAACUCCUUUAAAUGUGGCUAUAAAUACCUGAAACCAAUCCUUCUUUCCUCAACUCAAAUCUUCAAUCUUUAGAUCAUCUCUCCAAAAAAAUCUGGCAGGUUCCAACGUUUUCAUUUUAAUAGCUUGCUUCAUUUUGUUGGGUUUUUCAAGUAUGGAGGUUAGCCUAGCAACUCGAAAUAUUCAGCACGUGUCACUAAUUGAAGUGUCACCAAUAACAUUGUCGUUAUUCCCACCAUUGCCACCAAUAAGAUCUCCGUUCUUGCCACCAAUACCGCCAAUAACAUUGCCACCAAUGACAUUGGCACCAAUAACAUUGACACCAACAGGUACACCAAUCGAGGAACCAACAGAUCCACCAACCGAGAAACCAACAGAUCCACCAACUGAGGUACCAACAUUGCCUUGAAUCCCAAAGCUACCAACAAUCCCACCAUCUUAGCCUAAGCCUAUCACUGUUCUUCCACAAGUUCCCAGCAAUAGCUUGCCUUCCAUUCCUUUCAUGUCUCCAUCUCCACCUCCAUCCAGCUAUUGAAGACAAUUUGAUUCCUAAUUAGUAUCACAUAUAUUACUGAGAAUGAACUCUGUCAUCACAUUCUCUAUGAUGUUAUUUCAUGAAAUAAGAAUGUAGUUUCUAUUUACAUUUUACAUAUAUAAUAAAGUGUGGUGUUUUUUUUAAGUUAUUAAAUUAUUAAAAUUAUAUAUCCAAAAAUAUAAACAUGAUUAAAUGUUAUACAAUCAUUUAUAAAGGUAUUAUAAUUGAUGCUAUCAACUCCAACAUAGUUAUACUUCAGGAAAAAAAAACAUAACAUAAUCACUUGCCGAUGAAUGAUGUGAUUAUUUUAGGUAUAA
rnacentral:lncRNA from 1 species